rnacentral:lncRNA from 1 species
AUAAAAUAAAAUAAAAAAGUUCUUUUUUUAUUUUAACAAAGAAAGUUGAUAUAAUCAAUAAAUUCAAACUAGAUUAUAAACAAUUUCAAUUCUCUAAGUACAUGUAAUUAAUUUACAUUAAAAAUAGCACCAUAAAAAAAAAAGACAACAAAAUUAUAAAACUUUUACUAUAACUAGAAUUUGGCCCCGCGAUGUUGGGGUCAACUAUUCUCCUUUAAAUUUUUUCACUAAUUUUUCUUAAAUCUCAUGAUCAUUUAUAAUAUAAAAGAUUUUUUAUCAGCACACAAAAUAAGAUGACUGAAAAAGAAAUAUUUGAUAUUUUGAGAUUAGGUUUUUAUGGUUGAUUUUUUUGUUUCAUGAAGUGAAUAUUUUAAUUUUUUAUUUUUAAAGUAUAAAAAUCAGAUGAUUUUAAUUUAUUGCAAAUUAUAAACCUUUUAUAACAACAUUUGGAACAAAAGAAAGAAAAAUAAUGGUAAACUUUUUGUUCAAUAUAUAGAUUGAAUUUGGAUAUAAAUGUAAUAAAAUUUUAAUUUAUUUUUGAUCUUAUUCAUUCUAACAUUCUCACAUCAUAGUAUUUAUGAUGAAAAAAGCCCUAACAAAAACCCAUUUGUUCGUUCCUUUCUUCUCUCUAAAACAUCAACCGCAGCCAUUUUCUUCUUCUCUUUCUAAAACCAAACUCUUCCUUGUUUGUUUCCUACCAUUUGUUUUGUUUUUUUUUUCUUUUUUAAAAGUAUCAUUCCCUAUUUCUUGCUCUUUUUUUUUGUUCAAAUUAUACUUUUGGUUUAUUUUCUAGUUUUUGUUUUUUCAUUUUCAACAUUUAGUAUUUUCAAAACACACUUUCCUUUCAUAUUUAAACUAAUUACACAACAAUUCUGCUUUAAAUAUUAGCAUGUUUUGGAAGCCGCCUCAUUUCCAACAACAUUUUACUAAGUACAGGGUGACGAGGAAAAGCAAAUGCAUACAGUUGAAAAAUCAAAAUAAAAAACCAAAACAACAUAAGAAAAUCUUUUAAAUUGAUGCUUACCUUUUCUUCAAACAUCCAUUUUAUGGUAGUUUUAAGGUCACAUUCCCACCACCCUUUUUCUUCAUCAUCUAUCACCCAAGGCAAUUUUUCUUUCGAUAUCACUUUUUGCAGUUGUGGUGUGCUUAAAUCUCCUUGGCAAAAAAUCUUCAUCUUUGGGCAUGCUGUCACAAUCAUAUUCCCUAGGGCAGGGAAUUCAAAGAUUUGAUCCCCUAAGCAGAAGCUAGCCAGAGUUCGUAGACAACUUAAUUUCAAAUACUUGAGUCGGGUAAAAACAAUGCAUCGUUUCCCUUCAUCACACUCUGCUCUAAGUUGUCCAUGCCAUAUCUCUUUCAUAAUGCCAUUUCCCUUCAAUGUUAAUUCUUCUAGAUUAGGGAAUGUAACCUGAAAAUUAACAAAUAUGUUAGACUAAAGUUAAAGAUUUUGAACUAAUCAAUGAUGUAAAUUCUUCCUCACCUCCCUCAUUAAAUUGGAAGUCAAAGUUAAAUAGAUGAACCAUCAACAAGAUCUCAAUGUUCCAUUUAUUGUACAAGCUAAGUAUUACAGCUGACUUUUCUUUUCUUACCAUUUUAAUUAAUUUCAAUGGUUAGCAAAAUAAGAAAAGUUUUACCUCUAUGACACUACUCCCAUAACCGUGUCAAAAUAGCAAAAGUAUUACGACUGGGGGAAGGGAACACAGGCGGAAGGAAGUCGCAUAGAGACCAAGCCAGUGCAGGGGAAAUGGCACUGCGACGGGGUUAGGAGGUGACAGAGGGGAAAUGGAUGUGUAGGUGUAUGAGAAGUAAAAGGUACCUGACUUGGUACAGGGGACGGAUUUAAAGUGAGCAGAGUGUCAUGUAUGGCUUAGCUGUGAGGGUGAUAGGAGAAGACAAAUAUAAGGAGAGGCAGCCUUCAGGUGAAUUUUUUCUAGUUUACAAUCAAUUGCUUUAUUUUGUUGCUUCCUCGUAACAUUUUUUGUUAUGCGGAAUGAAUUUCUCUUAUCUAAAAUUUAACUUUUUAAAUGAAACGAAACUUCUAAAAGUUAAUUUAAAAAUGUUAAAUGUAUUUAUCUCAGUUUAGUAACGAUGAAAACAUCAUAAUUAAGUGAAAAUAUUGUUAUUUUAACAAACAACAUAUGCAAAAACUACAAUCUUUUUGUUGCAUGGUAACAUAAAAAAUGCUUGUGUAAAUGUUUUGAUUCAAUGAAUAUAUUUAGAUUUGAUUAAGUUCAUUGAAUAUAUAGUUUUGAUUCAAACUAAAUGUGUAAAUGUUUUACAUAGCUUUUUAUAUUCAUACCUCAUUGACCCAAAAUAAGGGUUGCUGAUUUGUUGAUUCUCCGAAGCUCAAAAGAUUUUCUGAAGCAAAUAUCUCCACCUUGUCACAUCCAUGUACCUUCAUUCUCUUUAAUGAUGGCCACUUCGAAGGGAUAAUAUGAAUUUCGUUUACCACGGUAACUUUGGAGAUGAAUGUCUCAAAUGUAGGACAAUUCUUUAUAAUAAGCUCUUCCAACGAGGGGAAUUCACAGUUACUUCCAUGGCAAAAUCUCGUGAGAUUGGGAAGUUUGUGAAGCUGCAAAACUUCUAGUUUAGGGAAAAUCUGGUCCAUCAUGUCUUCUUCUAUAUCCUCCGUGAAUAUUAUCUCUCUUAAGCACUUACAUCCCAUUACUUUAAAGCUUUUGAGAUGAGUCAGACUUUUAGCCAUCGAAAAUGAUAAUAGGUGUUUUAAGUUGGGACAAUAACUAAUGCUCAAAUUUGUCAAAGUCUGAGUGCAGCCAGAUCUAAUUGAGAAUUGAUUGUGCCAUAUCCUUUCAACUUUGAUUCUCCACAAAGACAGGUCCUCCAAGCAAGGGAAGUCCAUCUACACAAAUGUAAUUCUUAUACAUUAAAAAUUAUUAAAAAACAUAAAAAGGAUUCAAGUGGUACAGAUGGAAAAUAGCACAGGCAGGCAAUAGCAGAAACUACAGGCAAUGCAUCCUUGUCAUAGCGAGGAAGCGAACUGAACGCAUUGAGGAGACAGUGGACUUAGUGGUAAACAGGAAGCAGCAUGAAGUGUUGGGAACGACAUUUAAAAUUAAAAUUAGCAAAGGACAGAAAAAUGGGAAGGAGAGAAGGGUGCAGGUAAAAGAGAGAGUGAGUGGGAUGGCAGAGCAAAAAGAAGGAGAAGGGAUGAAGAAUAAAGCCCAAGUGAAGAAGGGGCUGGAAUACAAAGGGAUGAGGCGACUGAGCUCAAAGAGGCAAAUGGAGAGGGAAUGAGCAAUAAUAACCCAAGAAAAGAAAGGGUUGAAACAGGAUUUUUUGAUUUUUUGGAGCUGUUUAGGAUGUCCAUGUGUGGGCUCAGCAUAUACAGCUUGAUUUCCUUGAGCUUUGAUUUUUGGAAAUCUCUGGAGCUUAAAGAUCAUCAAGGGAAUUUGGAUGGGGGAUUCAAGAUAGAUGUUGUCAUGCUUUGGGAAGGUUACAUAAUUGAGUAACUCCCUCUUUUAGUGAAAAUCAGUCCUGGCUUAUAAAACAAAUCUUUAUACUAUAUAAAAAGAAUGAUGUUUGUCAAUGCAUCGAUAGGUUUAAUUAUUAAAAUAUGUUUGUCAAUGAGGAGAAAUUAAUUCUCAUUUUAAUAGCAAGUUGAUGUACGGAUGGACUUGGAAUAAAUGUAAAAAACGACAGUGGAAAAAAAAACAACUUUUUAAAGCUAUAACCUUAAAAAACUAAAAUAUUAUAAAAAUCAUAAACUAAUAAUAUAAUUAUUAUAAAAAUAUGUGAUUAAAAUGAGAACCUACGUAUCUUACAGUAAAAAAAAAAUGCGAAGCUACACAUGUAUGAAAGAAUUAAUGAGUCAAGAGAUGUGGCAUAUGACUGAACAAAAGAUAAAUCAAUACCUCUUCACCAAAUAGUGCCGACUCAUGUUGAGGUGUGGAAGUAGAGCUUCCUGAUUUGUUUUUAGAGCAGAAGCCAAUGAGCUCCGGUAAAAAUUCAAGUUUCAACGAUCGUAAUUGCUGAAAUGCAAUUCUGUCAACUGCAUCAGUAUCAUUCAUGAUAUAUUGUAUUUCCGAGGCAUGUUCAAUGUGAAGGUGUUUUAAAUGCAGAAAACCUUCCCGAUUGUUCAAAGCAAUCUUGACACCUUCUAGACCCUUCAGAUAUAAAGCUUCUGUUUCCUUCAAUAAACGUAGAACCCCAUCACCCAAAUUAUCGAUGCUUGUACCCACCUUGAGUUUUAGGAUUCUCGAGUAUUCAAUUCUCGAGUACCAGUCAGUUUCAGAUCCAAUAACAAUGUUGUAUCUUCGCAAUUUCUCAGAGAACAAGUCGUUUAGCACAAUGUCGGCAUCAGGAAUACAAACAUUUAAAGUGGUCAAACCAGACAAGUCCUUCAAUUCAGCUAGCCGAGCAUUACUUCCUAGGUCCCAUUUAACAAAACUUGUACCAAUGUAUAAUUCUUCUAAUUUGGACAAACUCGAUAAAACACCUGCUGGAAUUAUAAGUUCGUAACAAUCACUCAGAUCUAAUAAUCUUAGCUUAGUCAGUUGCCCUAUCUCUUGAGGUAGCAUUACUCCAGAACAGCCAAAAAGGCUAAAAAUUUCUAGAUUUUUGAGUUUUCCAAGAUUGAUCAUAUCUCCCAGCACACAUUGAUUUAGGCACAAUGCUCGAAGGCUUGUUGGGAGAUUAAUUGAGGAAAAUUUCAUUUUAAGCAAAUCUAAGACUUUGAGAUUUUUCAUUUUCUCAAAAAACUUAGCUGGCAUUUCCACGUCAGAAUCCUUGCUACCCAUACUGAAAAAAGUAAGUUGUGGACAUUCCAACUCAUGAGGAAGCUUCUCAACACUAUCAAAACUCAAACUAAUCAUUUUGAACUUUCUCAUCCUCUCUUCAUCUGGCCAAUCGUCAAACACACCGUUAUGCUUCAAUGCAAAUGCAUGGUUGUCCCUAGAGGCAAUUGCUAAGGCCACAUCACAAUCGAAGUCAUGCAUAUCGAAGCGGUCAUCGCUGUAACUAUCACGCAACAAACAAAAGGCUUUGAGGUCACUUACCAGAGUCAACACUCUGUUUCGCGUGUCUUCUACUGUCUUGACAUUAUCAAAUUAAGGAAAACCCAUGCCAUAUCUCACCAAGUCUUGAACGCGAGCAUUAUGGCCUAGAAGACCGCAAAGCAAGAAAGUUUGUUUGAGCUCCUCACUUCCUAAAUUAUCGUAACUCAACUGUAUAGCUGAAUAUACAGCUCCAGGUAUCCCUGUGAAGUUGCUUGGAGAAGGCCUCUGAAAUUUCAGUGAAGCAUCCUUCCAUGCAUGUAUAGCUUUGGUGCUCAAAGCUCUUGCGACUUUUACAAUAGCAACAGGCAAUCCUUCACACUUUUUGGCUACCUCAGUUGCUACAGAUCGUAAAUCAGAAUCUUUAAAAUCGUUCUCAGCCGUCUCCUUAAACAGGUUCCAAGCUUCUGUUUCAUUCAAAACAUCGAUUGCAAAAGCACUCUUAACACCCAUCUCAUCGGUUAGAACACGUCCAUUUCUUGACGUUAGCAGUAUCUUGCAUCCGUCGUAUUGAUCUCCAAAAGGAAUUCCGACUUCCUCUAGAUCUAGUCUCGCCCAAAUAUCAUCUAAAAUAAUAAGAAUCCUCUCCUCUUUCUGCAAGGGCUCUGCAAUUUCGGGAGUCCUCUCCUCUUUCUUCAAUGACUUUUCAAUUUCGGGAAUCCUCUUCUCUUUCCUGAACCUUCUCAACAACGAACGUGCUCUAGCCGUUGUAGUCAUUUCUUUUAAUUCUAAUCUCAACGACUCUGCAAUUUCGCCUUGGAUAUUGUAAAUGUUAGGAGUCUGAGUUACAGUUGCUUUAACCACCCAAUCAAAUAACUUAUCUUUUUGAACUUGUGUGGCAACUUGAUUGACUAGCGUGGUUUUACCCACACCACCCGUCCCGUACACUCCUAUCAUGGUGAUAGUAGAAUCUUUCAAUGCCUCUAUAACUCCGUCAAAAACCUCCUUUCUUGAAUCAAAAGCCUUAAAAUUUUUAAGAGGUUCACACUUCGGGGGUUGAACAUCAGGGUAUCCUACCCCGUUAAACUGACAGUACUGUUGGAUAAGGUCGUCAACAGCCGCGACACCUUCUUCUGCUUUCUUGCUAAGCUGGUAGCGAGACUUGAAGUUGUUCUUUGCUUUGUCUUCAAGAUCCUUCAUUUUCUUCACAUCUUCAUGCAUUACCUUGUCCACUCUCUUGCACCAAAGCUCGACAUCCGGUUUUCUCUUCUCCCCCUUCGUCUCUGCAGCAUUGACCUCUAGCUGGACACUUAUUCUUUUUGUGUUCAACUCCUCAAGUUUCUUCUCGAACUUGUCAACAUUUUUCUUGUAGAUGAAUAUAUAUCUAAUAUGACGUUUAAUUUCUUGGAAGAUGCCUUUCGCAGCUUCCGAAGCAGCGUUGGCGCAGACGCCAAUGGCACAACCUUCCAUUUUUUUAUUCAACAGACAAGUAAAGCAAAUCACAGAAGAACAGAGACAAAAGAUAGCAGACCAAAAAUGAAAACAACGAGAAGAAUAUAUUAGAAAACGAUGUAAGCAAGGGAAAUAAUCAGAAUGGUGAGAAAUUGGAAAUGGCGGCUUUCUCCAUUAGUUUUUGCUGUGAACAAAGAGGCAACUAAGAAUCAAAGUGAAAGGUUCGGGUUUUUUUAGUGGAAAAUAGAGGGAUGUGAGAAGCCGACACGUUGAGGUGAAGAACAAGAGAAGAGAAGGAAACAACAAAGCAGGAGGAAAACAAAGAACGUUGUGUUAAACAACAGAACAAACGAAAGAAAAAGUAGGGAAGAAAGAUAAUAGAGACGAGUUAGAGCAGACCGUUGUGUUAAACAACAGGGCAAGCUGCAUAAAGCUUUGCAUCAUGUAUCAGAAAAAUGGGUCACCAAAGGCGAAACAUGGUGAUUGACUCUUGACGUGCAUCAAAUAAAACGCAUCAGUUAUUGUACUGUACAGUCCAAAACGGGAGAGCUUUUCUUUCACGUGGGAACACAUCAGUUAUUUUACUGAUUGUUCAAAUAUAAAGAAAGACUUAACCAAAAGUCUUCAUUUUGUAUGGUCUCCAGUGAAAGCUUGGUCCUUCCCGUUCUGCUUCCAUUUGCUUUCCUCUGUUACGCUCUCGCAUCAAGCUUUUCAUGACCAUUGAAUGGGGGGCAAUGUAUCAUAAUCGUUGGCCACUAGAAACAAAACAUAAUCACGUGCCCAAUUUAUUGUGUGAUAAAGACAAGACGGGGGAUAGCUUUCAUCGACGCGUGCAUACUGCUUUUGUCCACAUAUCAAGGAAGACUUACCAAAAGUCCUCAUUUUUAAACUUUUGCAUUUAUGACGUAGGCUCCACAAAUGAAUAGUUUGGAUUGAUGAGGCGAAAGUGGCCUUUCAUAAUUGUCUAUGCAACUUGUCAUGAUUUAUCAAGGGGAAGUAGGAGGUUUUACAAUAAAUUAUCUUACAAUAAUCUAGUUGAAUUAACCUUUGAUUGUUUGCAAAGGUAAAGUAAAUUAUAAUUUUCAUAAGAAAUAUUAAAAGUCAUGACUUUUUUUUGACAAUUUCGAAAAAGAUAAUUUAUCCUUCGUGGUAGUCAUGUUUAUAUUUUUGAAACUCUGAAAUAAAAUAAUGAAGAGAAACACUUCAACUCCAUUGCUUUGUGAGAGUUGUAUAAACGACAAAGUUAUGGAGAAACCAAUUUUAGAUGCAUAAAGUUGGUAUAUUGAGAGGACGUGAAGUGCAAUUAAGGACUUUUGUAAAUAUUUCUCUCGUAUUUUAUACAAAUAACUUUAAAAAAGAAAUUAGAGUUGGGACAGAUGAUAAAAGAUGUACAAUAGCUCAGGGUCACCGUGAUGUAGAUUUCAGCAUUUGUCAUUGGAGAUGGAAAUGGUCCCUGGCAAGUUGAUCCGAUUUUUUUGAAGAAUUAGGAUGAAUUUCUCCUUCCCAAAAUUGUAAAAUUAGACCAAUCAACACAAAAAGAAUCAAUACAUGAUUUCUAUUCAUUAGCUUAGUUUUGUAAGCUUAUUUAUACCACUAACUUAAAUACAAUAACAUUAAACACUAAUCAUUUCACCAUUCCAACUUCAAGAUUUUUCCACAUAUUCACAUAAUUAGUCAACUCUUGAAUCCCAUAAAUCCUACAAUCUCAUAUAUCUUAUCUUGGUGAGUUUGAAAAUAAAAAAAAAAUGAAAUCAACUCUUAACAAAAUAUUAAAAAUAAAAAAACUUAGAUUUAAGAAAAAUAAUCUCGACUGUAAAACCCUUGAAUAAUAAUAUUUAAAAUUUCAAUUUCUCAUCUUAAUUUAGUUUUGAAAUUAAAAAACAGCUCAGGAUUUUUACUAAUAACAAGGGACUAGAAAGAAAGAUGGAAAUUGAGGUAGCAUGAAGAAACAAGAAGAAUGGAGAACAAAGUAGAAAAAAUUAAACAAAAUGUAAAAUAAUGGAGAAACAUAAUAAGAAAAAAUGAGAGUAUUUUUUAAAGCCAUAAUAGGCACACGGCCAAUCAACCCCACACUAAGGAGGGACUAUAAAAUAUAUUUUAACAUAAAUAGAUCCAAGACAUGUUAAAGCCAAAGAAAUUAAUUCAUAAAGUUGUCAGGUGGUCUACUUAGUAAUAAACUUAUAAAAUCUUUUGGAGAAUAAGAGCGAUGGCCUAAUCAGAGGGGAGGGGAAGGGAGGUGAAGAGAACGAGAAAAAGGACGAAACCCCAAAUACUCUUUACUAAGGGUGAGAUAGAGUGAGAUAGAGGAAGCAUACAUAAAGUAAAAGAUCAAUUUGAGGGAGAAGGGGGAGAAUGCAAAUGAUGCUUCCAUGGAAUGCCUUUGCUUUUGUGUACAUCUUUUUUAUGGUGGUAUUAGGCUCAGACACAAAGCGCCCAUUAUCCCCCUCUGCUGUAUGCACUCUCCUUAGCAACGGCGUGCUUGAGUGUCCUUGGGAGAAAACCUUCAAUUCAGGGCAUUCUUCCACAAUCAAUUCAUCCAAUUAUGGGAACUCAAGCUGUAGUUCCCCGAGCAGAAACUUGUAAGGUUGGGUAAAUAUUUAAGUCUCAGAAACGUCAAUCUCGAAAACUUGAUGCCGCUUUUCGCUGCACCACCCAAAUCACUUUAUUAUUUAUACUCAUUUUUUUAAGUUUGCACCAUGAUCACUCUUUUAUUAACACUAAGAUCAGAUGCUGAUGGUUUGGAGAUUUUUUUUUUUUGAAAAGUUAUUUAUUAACACUAAGUCACCAUGACAUCCGAGUAAAGGAAUCACUCUUUUCUCAAUUAAAAAAAAACAAACACUAAGCCACCACUCUCCUUGACAUAAUACAUCUGCUUGUCCAAAAAAAAUACAUACACUUACAACUAGAAACUGCAUGAACAGUUCCUUUACAAUUUCCUUUCCUACUGUGAGCUACAAAGAAGUCAAGCAGCUCUCAACCCUUCACCUAAGUGCUAUACAAAACGUGACGUGGAGUCUCCUUGACGUGGCGAACGUAACCGCGUUGAAUGAAUUGACCUUAACGAAUAUGAAACUACCUUUUGCUGAAGAAAAGAUAGGCAGCCAAGUAAAAAUCAUAAAAAAAAACGUCUCCUCCAUGGGUGAGUUCCUCUUGCUUGUCUACCUGCUGUUAAUUGUUACCUUAAUCUUCAUUUGAUUUGUUUAUUUUUUUCCUUUUCAUUUGAGUUUUGUUCAGGGAAACAAUAUGAUUCCCUUUCAAUAUUUUUCUUUUGGUGAACAUUUCAACCUUACGGAGAAAGGUUAACGGUGCCCGCCAGUCUUAUGGUUUUCUUUCGUUUAAUUUGAGGAGGACACUCAAGCAAGAGCCGGAAGCUGAAUCUGAUGCAAAAUUCGACACGGAGUCCACACUUAUUUCAAGUGGUGAACCCUGGAUAAUAGAUGGUUUUCCUUUAUGAUCGGUUUAAUGCGUGCCCUCUUAUUUUUGAAAGAGUGGUGGAAAAACAUCAACAUCCACAAUCUGAAAAUACCAAAGAAUUUGUGUGCUUCAUGUAGAAUAAUCCAGACAGGUUGGUCUCAGUUGUUCUCUAUUAUUCAUGCUAAUAAUGAAAAUACUUGAGAUCAAUUUUAAAACAUUAAAAUCUAUAUAUCACAGCUUAGAAGAGACUUUAAAAUGAUAUUUGAAUUUUUUACCUAUAAUGCAGAGCUUCCAAUUUGAUUGAUCAAUUAAUUAACAAUUUCGAUUAUUCAAGAUGACGGUCUUGAAUAAGGUAUGGUAAAUAUGAUCUAUAGUACCGAUUAUACAUAGAGAAAAAAAGCUUAGUUUAUUGCUGCAAGAACUUCAACUCCUACAAGAACAGCGGGCAAUAGGAGGCAGUUUAUGAGCAACAACUGAGCAAUCAUCCAUUAACAGAGAACAGAAACAUGAGUCGGACUGAAGGAUAAAUUAUUUUAAUUAAAAAAAAUUCAAGAUAAAUCUAAGAGACAAAGUGCAUUUUAUUUAUUUAACUGUUAGCGUUUAGGUUGAGAAGUUUAAAAUAUUAAUAAUUGAUUAUUUAAAUAUUAAUAUUUUUAUUUAUAAUUUAAUUAUUAAUAUUUAAUUUAUAAUUUAAAUAUUAAUUUUUUAUAAUAUAUAAUUAACAAAUUAAACAUUUUAUUUUAAAUUCUUUUUUUACAAUCAUAAGGGAUAUUUUGAUCCUCUCAAUUUUUUAGACUAUUCGCCCAACUAUGAAAUAAAAAAUAUCAUAAAAAGGUUUAAUUAAACUUUGAUUUUAAGUGAUUUUAAAGAAUAGCUAUUACAAAAGAAUAGCUAUUCCGGAAGACAUUUGCCAUCCAAACUAUGGAAAAAAUAAUUAUGGGUGGAACGUAAAAGGAAGUGAGAAGCCGACAAUAGGGAAGGGAAGGAAAAAAAGAGCAAGUGAUAAACAAAGAAAGGGAAAAAAUAACAAUUUGAAGUAUAAAAAAAGACUCAACUCUUUAUUAUAUCUUUCUUUCUUUAGAAUAAUUACAUCUAAUAAUAAGCCCUCGUUAAUAAUGUAUGCAUCACAAUCCCUCGGAUUUUAUUAAACAAAAAUAUAAUAUAUUUGUCCAAACUCAAAGGAAAAAUCAAGUUUCCCUAUUUGUAUUAAAUGUUUUAUCGUUUGAUUGUAGAAUAUCAUUUUAUAAAUAACUAAAAAUAAUUUUUUUACAAAAAUUUAAAUAAUUAUUUUAAAUUAUAAUUAUUUAUUUUUAAAAGUUUUUAAUUUGUAAAUUUACUUAUCAACGAAAUGACACUUUGAGGAAUGUGAAAGGUUCUGGGUUUUUUCGAAGAAAAGCAAAGGAAUGUGAGAAGUCGACACUUUGAGGUGGAGGACAAGAGAAGAGAGGGAAAACAACAAAGCGAAAGGAAAACAAAGAACGUUGUGUUAAACAACAGAGCAAGCUGUACAGCACUCACUCUCAGACCAGAGCUUUGCAUCAUGUAUCAGAAUCAUGGGUCACCCAAGGCAAAGACGAUAAUGUGCAUCAAAUAAGGCACAUGGGAUCGGGGCCACUUGCUCAGUUAUUAUUGUACAAUAAAGCUUAAAACGGGAGAGCUUUUCUUUCAGGUGUAAACGGUGUACUGAUUGUUCAAAUAUAAAGAAAGAUUUGACCAAAAGUCUUCGUCUUUAAGCACACAAUUUCCAUAUUCCACUGUGAUGCAAUGCAAGUCUUCAUUUUGUAUGGUCUCCGGUGAAAGUUUGAUCCUCCCUGUUCUGCUUCCAUUUGCUUUCCUCUCUUACACUCUCGCACCAAGCUUGUUCAUGACCGUUGAAUGUGUGCAGACUGCUUUAUACAUUAUGGCGUGCUCGAUUAUUUUGUCAUAAAGACAAGACGGGAUAGCUUUCAUUGACCUGUGCAGACUGGUUUUGCCCAUUUAUAAAGGAAGACUUGCCAAAAGUGAGUUUUCAUUUUCACCUUUUCGAUUAUGAUGUAGGCUCCAUAAAUGAAUAGUUUGGAGCGGAAGAUGAGGCGAAAGGGGUCCUUCACAAUUGUCUAUGCAACUUGUCUUGAUUUAUGAAAGAGGAAAUAGGAGGUUUUACAACAAAUUGCCUUACUUUAUCAUUAAAUUCCAAAUGAAUUAACUUUUGAUUAUUUGCGGAGGUAAAGUCAAUUAUGAUUUUCAUAAGAAAAAUCAAAAGUCAUGACUCUUCUUUAUAAUCCCGAAAAAGAUAGUUUAUCCUUUAUGGUAAUUAUGUAUAUAUUUUUGAAACUCUAGAAUAGAUAAUGGAGAGAAGUACUUCAACCCCAUUACAUUAUGAGAGUUGUAAAAACAAAAAGAUUAUGGAGAAACCAAUUUUAGAUGCAUAGAGUAGAUAGACUGAGAGGAUGUGAAGUGUAAUUAAGGACUUUUGCAAAUCUUUCUCUCAUCUUUUAUGCAAUGCAAAUGCACCCUGACCAAGGUAUCAGAGCUGUGACAAAUGAUGAAAGAUGUACAAUAGCUGAGGCUCACCAUGAUGUAGAUUUCAGCAUUCGUCAUUAGAGAUGUGAAAGGUACUUGGCUAGUUGAUCCAAUAUUCUUGAAGAGUUAGGAUGAAUUUCUCCUUCCCAAAAUUGUAAACUUUUAAAAAUAAAAAAUAACAGCUGAAAAAAUGUAAGAAAGGGUACUCUAUUUAAUUUCUAUUAUCCCCUUGUACUGAUAACAAGUUGAUAAUACUUUCAAUUUAAAUAUAAUUGAAGACAAAACAUAAAAUACAAAAAACUUAUUUUUUGUGCACACUUUUACAAAUAUUGAUCAUAAUAUAACAAAAAUGUUACAUGCAGUUAUUAAAAAUAAUUUAAAUACAUAUCUCUCAUUCUAUAUGUCACCAAAUUAAAGUUAAGUCAUUUAGUCAAUCUUUGGCACUAGAAUAGACCUAGACCAAUCAACACACAAGAAUCAAUACACUAUUUUUAUUUACUAGCUUAACUUCAUUUAUACCACAAAUUUAAAUACAAUAACAUUAUACACGAAUCAUUCUACCAUUCGAAUUGCAAUAUUUUUUCACAUAUUCACGUAAUCAAUCAAUUCUUGAAUCUCAUGUAUUUUGAAAUUGUAUAUGUCUUACCUUAUUGAGUUUGAAAAUAGAAAAAUUAAAAUCAACUCUUAAUAAAAAAAAAAACUUAGAUUAAAAUGCAUCGUUUUAAAGAUCUUUAUAAUGCAGUAAUUAGGGAGAGCAAAAUACGCAUUAUACUAUUUUCUUUCAUCAAGGUUUUUGCCAUUGGGUUUUUUUUGAUAAGAUUCUUAAUGAGGCAGUAUUUCAAAAACAUAUUCUUAGAAAGAUUAUGUACUCUUUUUCCUUCACUUGUAUUUUUUUCUAUGAGGUUUUUUUCUUAUAAAGUUUUAACGAGGCAUAUUUUUAAUACAAUAUACAUUUAAGUGGGAGUAUUAUGAACAAAUAUAUGAAUGUCCAUUAUGUUAUAACCCAAGAAAUGUAAACCAAGUCAAACAACCCAAUCGAUAAGAUACAAAAAAUGUAAUAUGAUUUGAACUAUAAUUUAAGGGUUUAUCGAUCUAUAAAUAGGUUUUUCACUUUACUUGUAAAUACGAACUUGAAUAAAAUUUUUUUACUUCCUCUAAAUACUUUUUUUCCGUUAAAUGCUUUCUCUUAUAUUUCUCUUAUAGUUAUUCUUUUCAGAUUUAUUUUAUAACAGUAGAUAAUAUUUUUAAUUUUAUUUCAAAUUAGAGGCGAUUCAUGUCCUAUCAACUGCUACAGGGCUGACCCUGUUUGCGGGGACGAUGGAGUAGCCUGCUGCCCUGAUGCUCAUUAAGUCGUUAAAAUUGGAUUUAUUGCGAGGUUGGUAAUAAUCGUGGAAACGGAUCUUUCCCUGUUCAGGCUCUGCUUUUGGUGCAUAUAGUUUGGCUUUUUGAAAUUUAUAAAGUAAUGUUGUUCCAGCUGACCAUGAAAGAAGGCUUCCUUUUCUGGAUUUCAUUUAGGACCAAUUUCAUUCAAAGUGUAAUACGUGAGGACUUGCAAACGGAGAGCUGAUCUCAGUCGGAUUAACGCUUUAGAACUGGGAUUUACGUUGGUUUAGCCAAUUGAAUUAUAUUAUGGGUAGGUUGUUUAGAGAUAUUUAUAUAUAUGUUAUAUAUUGAACUUGGAAUAGAAAUCCCCUGUCCCCUCCCAUGCCCCAUUUUCCUGCUUCUAUCAUUGUUCAAUUUAACAAGAAUCCUACACAUGUGAUAUAGUGAGAAAAUAUUAUAUAGUGAAUAUCUCCAUCCUUCAGAUGUUUCUUUGAUUUUAACUUUUUUAUAUAUUUUUAAUUUAUUUAAUUUUAAUUUAAAUUUGAUACAUUUUUAUCAUUAAUUGCAUUUAAUUAAUUAAUUUUUAAACAUAUAAAAUGGAAUUUUAGUAAAGUAGGGUAAGAUCCUUCUAUUACUUUCAAAGAUAAUUAAAUUUGUUUACUUUUUUUUUAAGUUAUGGAUAAAGAAAUUAUAAAUAUGAUCAAUUAUUAUGAAGAUUGAAAAGGGAGCAUAAUGAGAAAGAAGGUAAAAAAAAAAUCAAAUGAAUCAAAUGUAACCUAAAAGUAAAGAAGAUGAAUUAUCUCGUCGACUAAAAAUAUUUUGAAAAAAACUAAAACAAAAAAAAGAUGUCAAAUUGAUAAAUUAAUAAAAAUUUCACAAAUUCCAGACAUAAGGGUAAUAAAUUUUUAAUAUUGUUUCAUACUAUGUUUUUAUUUUAUUUUAUUAUUAUAAUUUUUUUAGCUUAUAUAAUUAUAAAUUUAUUCUAAUAAUUUCAUAGGAAUUAAAUCAAAUUACUCAUCUUUGUGCCAUAGCGUUGCUGUAAAAUAUUGGACCGUUCAUAGUCGUGGGUAGUAUAAGAUAACGGAGGAUUAAUGAUCAAAGAAAAUAAAAAAGAGAGUGAGAUGGUUACAGUAGAAAAGUUACCGCCUAACCACUCCUUGUAUAAUGGUCCUCUUCCAUCAUUUCUCGCACUACUAUUGAGUCCUUGUCACCUUCCUUCUCAUUUCCAUACAUAUAUUCAUAGCAGAGGAUUAAUGCGGUAGCUGUGAGAAAAUAUCUCUGUUUUCAACCUUCCAUCUCCAUUUACAGUAUAAAAAAACUCGUUCGGUUUCAUGAACAUUCCAUACUUUAAUCACAUUUUAAAGGAUGAAUCUUGAGAUUUAGGUUUAGUUUUUUUUUUCUUUUUGGUUUUGAAAAUAGUGAAGUCGGGAGAAGUGCAAGCAGAGUACAAGAGCACCGGAGGAGUUUUUCGUUAUUACGAAGAAGAGAAACGAGUGACAACGAUAAAGAUGUAGAGGAGAAGAAAGACAGAAAGGGAAAAAAAAUACGAGAGUAACAUUUUUUUUUAAUAAAAAAUCUGGCUUGAAGAAUGUAGUAACAGAUUUUGAGCUUUUGAUAAUUAGAGCAGUUCAAAAAGAUAGUUUGAUAUUGAAAUGAAUGAAGCAUUAGCCUUUAUUAAUCUUAAUUAAGUCUCAAUUUAUCCUUCUUGACUGCAGGCUCAACAAUACAAGUGCUUAACUCAAUUUGGAAAGUGAGACUAUACACUAAUUACUAGUAUUACUAACAACAUUAAUUUGGGAGGAAAGAUAAGUCUUAAUUAGUAUUACCAACAACAUUAAUCCAUCACUUCUUUGAAAUGAAUGAGCCAAAGUGGGAGAGAAUUAUACAUGAAUUUUCCACAGACAAUCUUUUGUAGCUGUUUUUUUUUUUAUAUAGAAACAAAUCCUUAGCUUUGGAUUGCCUUGUUUUGCAUCAUUCAAAGGGUUAUUAAAUUAUUAAAUUUUUAACAUCAAAUUAUUAAAUAGAAAUAGGCUUUUUAACAAUAAAUUAUCUUACUCUAUCUUUAAAAUCAAAAGAAAAAGUAUCUUAAUUUGGUUUAAUAAUACUGGAUCUUGUACACCCACUAUGUAGGUGAAAGAAAAAAUAUGAUAAUUGAAAUAAUUAAAGUUUUAUUUUAAAUAGAAAAAAUGCAUGUAAGAUAAAAAAAUCAUGUGUAUUUUGUGACAUCAUCACAUGAUUAUUACCAUGUUAACCUCAUAUUAUUUUCUUUUAAAAAGUGAUUUUAUUAAUUUCAUCACCAACAUGUCAUUUCAAGCUUCUAACUUAGAUAACAUGAGAUUUUCAUAUUGUUAUUGUUAAUUUCAUCAUUUGCUAAAAUUAGCACAUCAUCACUAUUACAUCAUCAUAAUCAAUGUCAUAUUACUAGAAAAUGUGAAUGAUUAAAUUAAAAUUAUCAAAUUUUAAAAAUAAAAUGAUUUGAUUUUUAUGAAUUUUAUAUAAAAAUUAAAUCUAAAAUGUUAAUAAAACAUAUAGACUAAUUACAUAAUUUGAUUUUUAAGAUACAUCCCAACCAAACUUCUACUUUUUCCUUAUCUUUGACUUUAUUCACUUUCUCUACAGCGCAUUAUUGAUUUUCUUAUCCAAUUCAACAUCCAUCAUCUUAUUUCUUUUCUCAACUUUAGCUUGAUUGUCCAAGUUUAGAGCAAUUGAUUCUCCAAGUUUUGAUCGUUGAUCUUACUGCAUGUUUGAUUUGUGGAAUGGAAUAUAAUGAAAUAGAAAAUGUAUUAUAUAUAUAUGAGAAUAGAACAAGGUAAUAAUAGAAUAAAAAUAUUAUUAUUAUUAAGUUUAAUUAACAUAAUAGAAUAAGGUAAACAUUAUUAUUAUAACUUAUUAUAAUAUUUAAUUAAUAAAAAUAAUUUUGAAAUACCAAAUAAAUAGGUGAUAAAAAGAUAAAAAUAACUUAAUUUUAUUGUAAUAUAUGAUUUUUUUAUUUUACUUUAUUUUUAAAAUAUUAAUAAUUAUAAUUUAAUCAUUAACAUUUGAAAUUAUUAUUAUUUUAUUAUAAUUUAACUAUUACUUUGAUUAAAAUAUUAAUAAAUUUUUAAAUUAAUUUAUUAUAAUAUAUAAUUAAAAAGUUAAAUUUUUAUUUUAAUUUUUUUUCACAAUCAUAAAGAAUAUUUUAGUCCUAUCAAUUUUAGAGGCUAUUUUCCAACCAUAAAAUAAAAAAUAUCAUAAAAAAUUGAAAUUAAUUAAUUCGGGAGAAGUGCAAGCGGAGUACAAGAGCACCGGAGGAGUUUUUUGUUAUUACGAAGAAGAUAAACGAGUGACAACGAUGAAGAUGUAGAGGAGAAGAAAGAGAUAGUUUACAAGUUAAUUAAGUGACAACGAUAAAGUGUACAAGAUAGUUUGAUAUUAAAAUGAAUGAAGCAUUAGCCUUUAUUAAUCUUAAUUAAGUCUCAAUUUAUCCUUCUUGACUGCAGGCUCAACAACACAAGUGCUUAACUCAAUUUGGAAAGUGAGACUAUACACUAAUUACUAGUAUUACUAACAACAUUAAUUUGGGAGGAAAGAUAAAUCUUAAUUAGUAUUACUAACAACAUUAAUCCAUCACUUCUUUGAAAUGAAUGAUCUAAAGUGGGAGAAAAUUAUACAUGAAUUUUCCACAGACAAUCUUUUGUAGCUGCUUUUUUUUUUUUUAUAGAAACAAAUCCUUAGCUUUGGAUUGCCUUGUUCUGAAGCAUUCAACGGAUUAUUAAAUUAUUAAAAUUUUAACAUCAAAUUAUUAAAUAGAAAUAGGCUUUUUAACAAUAAAUUAUCUUACUCUAUCAUUAAAAUCAAAAGAAAAAGUAUCUUACUUUGGUUUAAUAAUACUGGAUCUUGUACACCCACUAUAUAGGUGAAAGAACAAAAAUGAUAAUUGAAAUAAUUAAAGUUUUAUUUUAAAUAGAAAAAAUGCAUGUAAGAUAAAAAAAAUCAUGUGUAUUUUGCAACAUCAUCACAUGAUUAUUACCACGUUAACCUCAUAUUAUUUUCUUUUAAAAAGUGAUUUUAUUAAUUCAUCACCAACAUGUCAUUUCAAGCUUCUAACUUAGAUAGCAUGAGAUUUUCAUAUUGUUGUUGUUAAUUUCAUCAUUUGCUAAAAUUAGCACAUCAUCACUAUUACAUCAUCAUAAUCCAUGUCAUAUUACUAGAAAAUGUUAAUGCUUAAAUUAAAAUUAUCAAUUUUUUAAAAUAAAACAAUUUGAUUUUUAUGAAUUUUAUAUAAAAAUUAAAUCUAAAAUGUUAAUAAAACAUAUACACUAAUUGCAUAAUUUGAUUUUUAAGAUACAUCCCAACCAAACUUCUACUUUUUCCUUAUCUUUGAUUUUAUUCACUUUCUCUACAGCUCAUUAUUGAUUUUCUUAUCCAAUUCAACGUCCAUCAUCCUAUUUCUUUUCUCAACUUUAGCUUGAUUGUCCAAGUUUAGAGCAAUUGAUUCUCUGCAUGUUUGAUUCGUGAAAUCGAAUAUAAUGAAAUAAAAUAUGUAUUAUAUAUAUGAGAAUAAAAUAAAGUAAGAAUAGAAUAAAAAUAUUAUUAUUAUUAUUAAGUUUAAUUAACAAAAUAGAAUAAGAUAAACAUUAUUAUUAUAACUUAUUAUAAUAUUUAAUUAAUAAAAAUAAUUUUGAAAUACCAAAUAAAUAAGUGAUAAAAAGAAAAAAAUAACUUAAUUUUAUUGUAAUAUAUGAUUAUUUUUUAUUUUACUUUAUUUUUUAAAUAUUAAUAAUUUAUUUAAAAUAUUAAUAAUUAUAAUUUAAUCAUUAACAUUUGAAAUUAUUAUUAUUUUAUUAUAAUUUAACUAUUACUUUGAUUAAAAUAUUAAUAAAAUUUUAAAUUAAUUUAUUAUAAUAUAUAAUUAAAAAGUUAAAAUUUUAUUUUAAUUUUUUUUCGCAAUCAUAAAGAAUAUUUUAGUCCUAUCAAUUUUAGAGGCUAUUUUCCAACCAUAAAAUAAAAAAUAUCAUAAAAAAUUGAAAUUAAUUAAUUCGGAAAAUGGCUAUCACAGGAUAAUUCCCUGACGUAAAUCAAAUAAAACAAAUGAGGUUUGGGGCCACUUGCUCAAUUUUUCUACUUUAAAGUUCAAAAGGGGAAGAGCUUUUCUUUGACGUGUGAAUAGUGAAUACUAUAAUGCUUGUUCAACUAUAAAGAAAGACUUACCAUUUUCCCGUGUGCUGCGGUGCAAGUUUUCUUCAUCAAUUUGAAGCAUUAAGUUAUUGCCAAUUGAAGUAAAAAGAAAGACUCACCAUUUAAGUCUUUAUUGUACCUUUUUUUUUUAGAAUGAUUAUAUAUUUAAUAAGUCCUCAUUAAUUAUUUAUGCAGAUUUUAUUAAACAAGUAAAUAAUAUAUUUGUCCAAAACAAAGAGAGUAGAUCCGAGCUAAAAACAAAAAUCAAGUUUCCCUAUUUGGUACAGCUGUAAUUAAAAAAAAAAUGAAAGAAUUUGUAAUUGCAGAAAGAACAAGACGUGCGGGCAACUCUUGAUUUAAUAUUUUUAUAAAGACUUUUAAUUAUAGGCCAUUGAAUAAUGUGGCCUAUGUAUGUAGACACCUAUUUAAUAAAAUAAAAUAAAUAAAUAAAAGCUUAAAAAUAAAAAUAAUAAAAUGUAUAGGAAUUUCAGUCUUACAAUGAGGAAAAGGGGCAAAAACACCGACAAAAUUCAAUGAAUGUCAAAGAAGACAACGAAAAGAAAGCAUCUAAGGGAGGAAGCUGAAAAUAAAUAUUGCAGGAAAUUAAAUCUAAUAAUGAACAAAAGUAAUGGUUGUCCGUAAAAGUAAGGUAAAGUAUGAUUUUCAUGACAAAAUCAAAAGUCAUGAUUCUUAAUGAUUUUUCUUUGCUUUUUCCUACUUUCUUAAUGAUUUUGUUACAUAAUGGACUCUCCUUAUUUAAAAUGAUUUGAAUUAUAACUGGUUAAACUAUUUACAUACUCCUAAACAAGUUUAUGAAAGCUUUUGAAAAAAAAAAACAAAUUACUGAAUGAAUUUUUUAUAAGAUUAAAGAGGCAAAAGAAUGGCAAAGGAUAAAACACAAAGAUUCUUUAAAAUUUCACCAAAACGUUGGACUAUUUUAGAAAAUUUUACGAUAUAAAUGUUUUUCUUUGCUAUUUAAUAAAACUUGAAAAUUGCAUCGAGUUUUUUUAUAUAUUUGCAUCAUGUGCAUUAAAAAUAUGAAUUAAGUUAAAAAAGUAAAAACAAUCUAAAGGGAAAAUUUUCAACAAAAUUUUAAAGCUAAGUUUAUUGAAAAUAUUUUUAAAUUUCACCAAAACAUCAAGAGAAUUUAGAAAGUUUUCAAUAAAGAGAAGGAAACCACAAAGCAAGAGAAAAACAAAGAACGUUGUGUUAAACAACAAGCAAGCCGUAUAAAGCUUUGCAUCACGUAUCAGAAUCUUGACGUGCAUAAAAUAAAACACAUGGGGUCGGGGCCACUUGCUCAGUUGUUAUUGUACUACAAAGUUUAAAACGGGAGAGCUUUUCUUUCACGCGUGAACAGUAUACUGAUUGUUCAAAAUAUAAAGAAAGACUUGGCCCAAAGUCUUCAUUGUGUCAGGUCUCCGGUUAAAGUUUGGCCCUCCCUGUUCUGCUUCCAUUUGCUUUCCUCUGUUACACUCUCCCACCAAACUUUUUCAUGACCAUUGACUGUGUGCAGACUGCUUUGUCCAUUAUGACGCGCUCCAUAACUGUCUCAUAAAGACAAGACGGAAUGCCUUUCUUUGACGUGUGCAGACUGCUUUUGUCCAUUUAUAAAGGAAGACUUACCAAAAGUAAGUCUUCAUUUUUACCUUCCCAUUUAUGAUGUAGGCUCCAUAAAUGAAUAGUCUGGAGCGGAAGAUGAGGCGAAAGUGGUCCUUCACAAUUGUCUAUGUAAAUGGUCAUGAUUUAUCGAGGGGAAAUAGGAGGUUUUACAAUAAAACACCGUACUUUGGAAUUAACUUUUGAUUAUACACAGAGAUAAAGUAAAUUAUGGUUUUUACGAGAAAAAUAAAAAAUCAAAAGUCAUGAGUCUUUUUUAAAUCUUGAAAAAGAUAGUUUAUCUUUUAUAAUAAUCCGUUAUAUAUUUUUGGAACAUUAGAAUAAAUAAUGGAGAGAAGUACUUCAACCCCAUUACUUUGUUAGAGUUGUAAAAACAAAAAGAUUGUGGGAAAACCACUUUUAGAUGCAUAGAGUAUAUAUAUUGAGAGGAUGUGAAGUGUAAUUAAGGUAAACUUUUAAAAUUGAUCAAUUACAGAAUCUUUAUCAUUGUGUCUUUCCUUACCAUCUCAAAUUGAUUAUUCACUAAUGGAGAAGGAGAAGGAGGGAGAGAGAAUAGAGAAAAUCAACCAUUUUAGCCAUCCACAUCCAUUGCUGUUCAAUGAUGAAGAGCAGAGUGAUAAAAGUAAAGAAGCUCGCUGCUCCGCAUGUUUGGAAUCCUUAUUGGGCUCAAGUUUUAGCUGUGCAGAAUGUGACUUUCACCUCCAUAAAAAAUGUGCCGAGGCACCUUCAGAAAUUCAUUCCCCUUUCCAUUGUAAGCAAGCUGCUCUUACUCUUAAGUCAAAUCCACCAUGGGAGCCGCCACCCUCUAUUUGUGAUUUAUGCAUAGAGUAUAUAUAGAGUAUAUAAAUUGUGAACUUUUAAAAAUAAAAAUAACAGAUGACAAUAUGUAAGAAAGGGUACUUUAUUUAAUUUUUAUUGUCUGUUUGUGGUGAUAACAAGGUGAUAAAGCUCCUGAUUUAAACAUAAUUAGAGGAAAAACAUAUAAUACAAAAAACUCAUUUCUAAGGUAUAUUUUUUAAAAUAUUUAUCAUAACAUAAUAAAAACGUUACAUGCAUUUAUCAAAAAUAAUUUAAAUACAUAUUUCUCACUUAAUAUAUCAUCAAAUCAAAGCUAAGCCAUUUAGUCAAUCCUUAGCAUUAGACUGAAUCUAGACCAAUUAACCCAAAAGGAAUCGAUAUAUGAUUUUUAUGCACUAGUUUAGCUUCAUAAGCUCAUUGAUACUACUAACUUAAAUACAAUAACAUUAAACAUUAAUCAUUUUACCAUUCCAACUUUAAGAUUUUUUUCACGUAUUCACGUAAUCAAUCAACUUUUGAAUUUCAUAAAUCUUAAAAUUUUAUAUGUCUUAUCUUAAUGAAUUUAAAAAUAAAAAAAAUUAAAAUCUACUCUUAAUAAAAUAACAAAAAGAAAAAAAAUUUAGAUUUAAGAAAAAUAAUCUUGAUUGUAAAACCUUUGAAUAAUCAUAUUUAGAGUUUUAAUUUUUCAUCUUAAUUUAGCUUUGUAAUUGAAAAAACAGCUCAUGAUUUUGACAAGUAACAAGGGACUUGAGAGAAAGAUGAAAAUUGAGGCAGCGUGAAGAAACAAGACUGCAGAAACAAAGUAUCAAAAAUAAAAAAAAUGUACAAUAAUGGAGAAACAAAGGGUUCGGCCAAUAGGCAACAAAAGAAAUAAAAAGUGUGGGCACCAUCCAAUGUGAGAAAAACACAAAAGAAAGGCAAAGCUUUUCAAAGAAGUUUGGGAACAUUUUUUAAAGAAAAGGAAAAGAUUCCUCAAGUGUUUUACUAUUUAUAUGUUAUAUAUUUUAACUAUAAUUUUGAUGGAUCUUGGUACAGAUAAAUGGGAGAAACAAUUUCUUGAGAUUUUUAGAAAUUAAUGUAAGUAAUAUAAUUUUUUAAAUAAUAUUUUUGAUGUAUCAUGUUUGAUAAAAAUUCACUAAAAAAUGAUUAUUUUAUUUUUGAGUUUAAUUUUUUAUUUUUACUUUUAUUUGAAAAUUUGGGUUUUCAAACCUAAUGUUCAAAUUGCUGCCCCAUAGAUCAAUAAUUUUUGCUUCCAACAUCCCAUUUGACCUCACACCUCCUCACGUUGUUAAAGAAGGAAUGGAACCAUAAUAGGCAUACAUCCCAUCAACCCCAGACCAAGGAGGGGACGACAAAAUAUAAAUAUAUCCAAGACAAGUUAAAAGCCAAAGAAAUUAAUUAAAGUGAUUGAUCAUCAACUUGUCAGGUGGUCUAGUUACUAAUAAACUCAUAAAAUCUUGCACCAAGCUUUCUCAUGACCAUUGAAUGUGUGCAGACUGCUUUGUCCAUUUCUAACGUGCUCCAUUAUUGUGUGAUAAAGACAAGACGGAACACCUUUCAGUAACGUGUGCAUUUUUAUAUAUUUUUUAUUUAUUUAAUUUAAAUUUAAAUUUGGUGCAUUUUUAUCAUUAAUUGCAUUUAAUUAAUUAAUUUUUAAACAUAUGAAAUGGAAUUUUAGUAAAGUCGGGUAAGAUCCUUCUAUUGCUUUCAAAGAUAACUAACUUUGUUUACUUUUUUUUAAGUUAUGGAUAAAGAAAUUAUAAAUACGAUCAAUUGUUAUGAAGAUUGGAAAGAGAGCAUAACGAGAAAGAAGGUAAAAAAAAAAUCUUGAUGAUGGGGAGGGGGGCGUUACUAAGCCAAAGGCUUCGCUUUCUUAUUUUUUUUCUAUUACAACCAGAACGCUUUCAUUCCUUGAUAAUUGUGUAUGAUGUUGGGAUAUUCUUAUAAUUUAUAAAGGAAAAUAGGCCUUUUUACAAUAAAUUACUUGACUAUACUAUUAAAAUCAAAAGCAAAGUGUCUUGAUUUAGUUUAAUAAUAUUGGAUCUUGUACACCCACCAUGUGGAUGAAGGAAAAAAAUAAUUUUAAAAAAAUUUAAAAUUUCAUUUAAAAUAAAAAAAUCAUUUAAUACAUCAUAUUAUCAUAUUCAACAUCACGUUAGUAAAUGUUAAACAUUACAUCAACUCAAUCAAGAUACAUGAUAAAUAAGGAUGUGAAGUGUUAAUCAAAGAAUUUGGAAAUAGGAUUGUUUAAGGUGAAUAAUGAAAGAAAUAUUUUUCUUAAAUAAAAGAGAAAGAACACAUGCAAUAGGUAAAAGAAAGAAUAAUGGAGAUAAAAUAGAGAUUUAAAUUUUAUCUCUGAUUAAAGAAAAGAAAAUAGUUAUGGCAAUAAUUGAAGUUUUAUUUAGUAAUUUAAAAAUGUGUUGUGAAGGUUAAUGAAUACAAUUAGUCUUUUUUUUUUUUAAUGUAUCGAAUGAAGUUUUUUUUUGGUAAAAUUGAAAGAUUUUUUAUGGCUAAUAAGUAUCAGGUAUUUCUCACUCCUAUAUACUCCUAAAUAAUUUUAAAAUGUUCUUUCAAAUUAAAAAAUCAAAAUACUCAAAGAAUUCUUCAAAAAACUAAAGAAGUAAAACCAUUCAAGGAUGUUAAGGAUAAAACUUACAGAAUUUUUAAAAGUUUAAGGUGGAGAUUGUUUUUAUUUAUGUCAUUUGAAAUUUCUUUACUUUUUAAGCAUAAAAUCUUUUCAGAUUCUGGAAAUCAAGAAGAAAGGAAUUUCCUAAGUUUUGGAAAGUGGGACUUCAACUCAAAACAUCAACUUGAUAUUAUUGGUCAGGAAAAAGAAAAAAAAGAAAAGGUUUUUUUUUUAAAAAGCAUGCAAGUUGAUUUAUAAGUACAAACAUAAUUGAAUUUGGCAAACCUAGCUAAAAUCGAUUUCGAUAAGAACAUAAACCAGAAGGAAUUCCAAAAUGCUCAGUGAGCUGUUAUGGAUAUCUCAUAACUGGCAGAUCGUGUGAAUGAAAUGAGUCACAUUGUGACAAAGACAAAAAGAAAGGUAAAGAGAGGUGCAAGAAAAGAAAAGAAAAGAAAAAAGGGAAGAAACAGUCAAGUCAAAACAAAAAAAAUUAAAAUCAAAAUGGUAAUCAACACUGCACAAUUGCUCUUUUUUAUUUGUUAAGAUAAUAUAUAAUUCAUUGUCAUUGUCUUGGUGGAUUAUUAAUUAUAAAGAAAGACUUGUCUUUAUCAUUUCAUUAAAAAAAUAAACAAAAAUUAUAAGGAAAGACUCACCCUAAGUUUUCAUUGUUUAAAUAAUACCAAUCAUCGAUUAUAGAGGAGAGAAAAGACAAAUUAAGUAGCUAAAAUGUAGAAAAAACACACGAGAUAGCUUUACUUAAAGCAAUUGCAAUAUCUAAAGUUUCAAUAUAAAAUUAGGUUAAAUUCAUAUUGAUAUCUAAACUUUCUCCUUUAUGUUUGAAGUACAUGUCAUAAACCACUCUAACAAAAUUAAUGGCAAAAACAAUAAUGCAACUUCAUGAUUAUUUAUUUUUAUUUUACUUUUAACUAUUAAUAAUUUAUUUAAAAUAUCAAUAAUUGAUAUUUUAAAUAUUAAUUUUUUUAUUUAUAAUUUAAUAUUAUUAUGAUUAAAUUAUUAAUUAAUUUUAGAUUAAUUUUAAUUAAAAUUAUUAAUUGUUUNNNNNAUUAAUAUUAAUUUUUAAUUUAUAAUAAAUAUUAUUAUGAUUAAAAUAUUAAUUAAUUUUAAAUUAUUUUAAAAAUUAAAAUAUUAAUUGUUUAUCAUAUGUAAUUAAAAUCUUAAACUUUUUAUUUUAAUUUUGUUUACACUUAUAAGAGAUAUUUUAAUCUUAUUAAUUUAGAAGUUAUUCUCUCAAUCAUAAAAUAGUAAAUAUCAUAAAAAAAAUUAAAAUUAGUUAAGUUUUAAUGCUGAGUGAUUUUGAAGAAUAACUACUACGAAAAAAUAGUUAUUCAAUGAGACAUUUACCAACCAAACGAUGAAAAAAGUAACUUAUGGGUGGAAAGUCGAGGGAUGUGGGAAGCCGACACAACACAAGAGAAGGGAAGGAGACAAAAGAGCAAGCGAAAACAAAGAAAGGGCAAACGAUAAUGGCUUUGAUCUUUUCUUUCUUUACCUAGCUGCUAUUAACCAAGCUUUUCAUCAUGGCCAAUAUUGAAUGUGGCCAUCGAUCAUGGGUCACUAAAAGCAAAACUUAAUGAUUGACUGUUGACGUGACUCAAAUAAAACAAAUGGGGUUGGGGACCACUUGCUCAAUUAUUCUACUUUAAAGUUCAAAAGGGGAGAGUUUUUCUUUGACGUGUGAAUACUAUACUGCUUGUUCAAUUAUAAAGAAAGACUUACCACUUUCUUCGUCAACUUGAAUCAUUAAGUUAUUGCCAAUUGAAGUACAACGAAAGACUCACCAUUUAAGUCUUUAUUGUACCUUUCCUUUUUUAAAAUAAUAAUAUAUAAAAUAAGUCCUCAUUAAUUAUUUAUGCAGAUUUUAUUAAACAAGUAAAUAAUAUAUUUGUCCAAAACGAAAGAGAGCAGAUCCAAGCCAAAAACAAAAAUAACGUUUCCCUAUUUGGUGCAGCUGUAACUUUUUUUUUUUAAAUGGAAGAAUUAAUUUGUAAUUGCAGACAGAACAAGACGUGUUAACAACUCUUGAUUUAAUAUUUUUAUAAAAACUUUUUAAUUAUAGGGCAUUGGAUGUGGCCUAUAUAUAGGAAUUUCAGUCUUACAACAAGGAACAGUAAAAAAAACACCCACAAAAUUCAAUGAAUGUCAAAGACGUGUGAAGACCGCUUGCCCAAAUGUAAAGCAAGACUUACCAAAAGUCUUGGUGAUGUGAAGGGGGGUGCUACUAAGCCAGAGGCUUCGCUUUCUUAUCCUUUUCGAUUACAACCAAAACGCUUUUAUUCUUUGAUAGUUGCGUAUGAUGGUAGGAUAUUCUCAUAAUUUAUCUAGAGAAAUAGGCUUUUUUACUAUAAAUUACCUUAUUAUAUUAUUAAAAUCAAAAGCAAUGUGUCUUAAUUUAGUUUAAUAAUUUUGGAUCUUGCACACCCACUCUGUCGAUGAAAGAGAAAAAAUAUAAUAAUUAAAAAAUUAAAAUUUUUAUUUGAAAUAAAAAAUCAUUGAAUAUAUCACAACAUCUUAUUCAAUAUCACGUAGUAAAUAUUAAACAUUACAUCAACCCAAUCAACAUACCUAAUAAAUAAGGAUGUUAAAUGUUAAUUAAGAAAUUUGCAAAUGGGAUUCUUUAAGGUGAAUUAUGAAAGAAAUAUGUUUCUUAAAUAAAAGAGAAAGAACACAUGCAAAAGGUAAAAGAAAGAAUCAUGGAGAUAAAACAAAGAUUUAAAUUUUAUCUCUGAUUAAAGAAAAGAAAAUAGUUAUGGUAAUAAUUGAAGUUUUAUUUAGUAAUUUAAAAAUGUGUUGUGAAGGUUAAUGAAUAGAAUUUUGUUUUUUUUUUAUGUAUAAAAUGAAGUUUUUUUUAUUGGGUAAAAUUGUAAGAUUUUUUAUAAUCAAUAAAUAUCGGGUAUUUUUCACUGCCAUAUACUCCUAAAUAAUUUUAAAAAUGUUCUUUCAAAUUAAAAAAUCAAAAUACUCAAAGAAUUCUUCAAAAAACUAAAGAAGCAAAACCGCUCAAGGAUGUUAAGGAUAAAACUUCAAGAAUUUUUGAAAGUUUAAAGUCUGGAGAUUAUUUUUAUUUAUUUAAUUUGAUUUUUUUUUUUUACUUUUUAAGCAUAAAAUCUUUUCAGAUUCUGGAAAUCAAGAAGAAAAGAAUUUCCUGAGUUUUGGAAAGUGGGACUUCAACUCAAAACAUCUACCCAACCAAACUUCUACUCUCUUCCUUAUCUUCGACUUUAUUCACCUUCUCUACCUCAUCAUUGUAUAAUUAAAUCUAAAAUAGACACAAACUGAACCAAAAAAUAAAAUAGAAAUGGAUGAAUCGAUAAUCAAACUAUAGGGCAAAUGGAAUUUCAGUCUACAAUGAGGUAAAAAAAACAAAAAAAUUCAAUGGAUGGCAAAGAAGACAGUGCAAAAGAAAGCAUCAUAAGGGAGGAAGUUGGAAAUAAAUACUAUAGGAAGUUAAAUUUAACAAAUGAAUUAACAUUUGAGUAAUCAAAUGAAUAAUAAAUAAAUAACGAGUUAUAUAGAUAUAUAGUAAUAAAAUUAAUUAAAUAAAUUUUAAACAAAUUAAAUAAAAUAUUUAAAAUAUGAAAUCUUUCACACUUACUCGUGUCAUAUUUUAUUUUUCGAUGCAAAUCAAGUAAAAUACACGAAGUUUUGGGCCCAAAUGCUCAAUUAUUGUGUGAUAAAGCCGAAAUGGGUGAGCUUUUCUUGGACGUGUAAAGACUGCUUGUCCAAAUGUAAAGGAAGACUUAGAUGUUACUGUAAAAUAGUUGGAAAAAUAUUAGAUACACAACUAGUUUUAUUUUAUUAAAGAUUUGCAUUCGAGCAUUUGGAAGAUUAACAUGUGUUUAUAUUGUAAAAUAAUAGAAUUGAUGUGUAACUGAAGUCUUCGGAUAUGCUUACUAAUUUUUCUUUCUACACUUCAUGUUAUUUAAUUCAUUCCUCUUUGAUUAUCAAAAUACCAUUUGGAGUGAAUAACUCUAAAUCAUAAAUAGCUUUUCACUUUUUUCAUUUUCAAUAUUAAAAUGACUAAUUUUUAAACAAGAUAAUUAGCUUCAUAGAAAGUUUAAACUUAAUACGGACACUUUAGGUUACAUAUAGAAAGUUUAAACUAAAAUCAAGUGUCAUAUUAUCAGCAAAAGGAUGUACUUUCAUUUAAAUAAUUGGAAUGUAACAAAGGUAAGAGAUUUAAUGAUAUCUAUAUGAAACAUUUGCAAUCCUUUCCAAGCUAUUGAAACAGGGGUGUCUUGGCUUAUGGACCUUACAAGCAAUUCAACGUACAAUGGAAGAGGGCAUCUCCACUAUAACACUACAUAGCAACUAAGCCGUGACGAAGGAAAUAGAGUACUGAGGAUUAUAUGGAUGUAGAAGAUCUACUUACCCUCUGAUUUCUUACUCAAUCGAAGAAAAAUGAGCCUAAAGUGUCUUACAAGUAUAAAAAUUUUUUACCUUAUUUUAGCUUGGACAAUCUGUAAUCAUAAGAAACAACAUAUUGAAUUGGUGUAGUGCUAUUAUUUAUAUACGAAUAAUAUAUCAAUUAAUUCUUCAAACACACAUGCAAGUUCAUUUAUAAUUACAAACAUAAUUGAAUUUGGCAAACCUAGCUAAAAUCCAUUUCGAUAAGAACAUAAACCAGCAGGAUUCCAAAAUGUUCAGUGUGAUGCUAUGGAUAUCUCAGAACUGGCAGACAGCGGGAAUGAAAUGAGUCACAUUGUGACAAAGACAAAUGGAAAAAAGCAAUGAAAAAAAGACAAAUUAAGAAAUAAUAUACCAAUAUAAAUUAAGAAAUAGAUUAAUGGAAGAAAGGGAAAAAAAAAAGGAAGAAAAGACAGAGUUAUUGGAUAGUUGCACAACAAUAAUGUGGCACCAACCCCAAAAAAGAAAGAAAAAUUGUCACAAAGAAAGACUUAUAUAUAACUCAUCAAUGUAAUAAAAUUUCAUUUAUCUACAAAGAUGGGCUUGUACCAAGCUCAGAAGGUCACUGAAUAUGAAACAUGCUUCAAAUGCCUAAAGAAUCUAAUUCCUUAAAUCUUAGGUAUUAGGUCCAUGUUGGAAUACCAGCCCAAUGCUAUGCAGAGCCUGCUCCAGUGGAUACAUUACGCCGAAGGCAAACAAACUGAUAUUUGCUUUAAAUUGCCUUUAGUUGUUGUACUGGGAAUUUCAGAGUCAGGCCAUUAAAUGAAUUUCCGGUGCUCUGGAUCGAUGUAAAGUUAAUGAACACCAUCUCUGCCUUGAUUUGAAGUUAAUGAAAACACCAGAAGUUGAAGCAAUUAGAGGAUGAAGAUCAUAGUAUUGUUUCAUUGUUUCUUUUAUUGCAAGCAAUGUGAAAUGCCAAUUGGCAAACUCUUGAAUUAGAAGCCAAACAUGAGUUAGAAGCUCAACACCUCGUCUCAGCUGUUGACAAUGCUAACUCCCUGUUAAUCUGGAAACAAAGAUUACAGUAGUGGUAACUUAAAGGAAAAAUCAUCUUUGAAGAAAGAAGAACAAAGACACGUGAAGCACACACUGUCAUUUAAAGGAAGCACGUGCUUGGUAACUUAGAAGCUUAUUUACCAGUGUUAGUUUUACUCUUACUUUUACCGUAGUAAAUGGUUAGUUAGUUGGCUGUUAGAUGUUAACUACUUGUAGUUUAGUUUUUCCCUCUCUGUUUUGACGGACACUUGUAUAUAAAGGGGCUCUCCGUAUAUUUUUCAUUUUGUAAGAAAUAUCCACAAUGUUGAUAUUUCCUUUGAGAUUCUGCAACUUUUCACAUGACAUCAGAGCGAGUUCGAGAUCGGGAUUCUUGAUUGAUCAACUUCAAAUUUUGUUGAGGGUUACAAUCAAGUCGGAUUCAUUCUAUCUGCAAUCAUAGUAUCUGGUAUUUCUUCAGUCUUUUCCAUUGGGAGAUUUCACUUUUUUUUCUGUAGAUCUUGAUUUGUUGAAAAAGUAUAUUGAGCAUUUGUGUUAUAGUUGCUUUUUUUUUUUUUGGAAUCUUGAUUUGCAAUCUGAGAAUCGUUGUCUAGACAUUGAGGAGUUAGUAUAUUGAUGAUGGCUGAAGAAUCAGAAAGGUUGGGGAACAAUUCUUCAAACCCUAAGUCUAGUAAGUCGCGUCUAGAGGAUGCUGAUUCAUCGUUUUAUGUGCACCACACUGAUAACCAUGGAUCAGUGAUGGUGAAUUCUAAUUGACCUCUAGCAAUUACAUAGUCUGGAGUAGAUCAUUUUUAUUGGCUUUAUCCAUAAGAAAUAAAGUCAGUUUUCUUGAUGGAACCAUCCUGAACCAAGUGUACAGAUCCCUUGUAUAACUCAUGGGUUAGGUGUAACAACUUGAUUGUAGCUUGGAUUUUAGACUCUAUUUCAGCACCAAUUGCCUCGACAGUGUUCUACAUGGACGAUGCUGCUGAAAUAUGGAAUACUCUUCAGUAGAAUUACGCACAACCUGAUGACACACGUGUGUGCAAUUUACAAUAUGCCUUAGGAAAUGUGAACCAAGACACCAGGACUGUUGAUUCAUUUUUCAUAGAAUUAAAGGGCAUUUGGGAAGAGUUAAGGAAUUUUAGACCACUACCACAUUGUGACUAUGGUAAGUGUAAUCCAACAUGUUUUAACAAAUACUCAAACCAAUAUCAGAAGGAUAUGGUUUUUAGGUCUCUAAAUGGACUCAAUGAAUCAUUUCUGCGUUGAGGUCUCAAAUCAUAUCAAUGGAACCAUUACCAAAGUUGGACAAAGCUUACAAUAUAAUUUUAAGGGAAUCUCAAAGGAGUUUGCUGAUUCAAUCAAAUCCAGCAAUUGAAUCAUCAGCUAUGAUGACUGCUGUGGAUAAUAGGAAGAAAACCAAGGCAGAAUUGGUUUGUAAUCACUGUGGUAAGAAAGGGUAUACAAAAAAGAAUUGUUAUAGAUUAAUAUGAUUUCUUGUAUAUUUUAAGUUUACAAAAGGGAAAGGAAAUUUCAGGAAACCAAAAACAUCAGUAAAUAGUGUUUCUGUUGGAAAUAAUGCAUCUGUAAGAAGUUCUUUGGGUAGUGAUCAAGAUGAAUAGGUGGUUGGUACAGAUUCGAUGUCUCAGAUAUCUCUUAUUAAGCAUCAAGUUCAGAAAUUGAUGACUCUUCUUGGUGAGAAUGGUAUAAACAGUGAAGGUCGUAUUGCAAAUUCAUCAAAUACUCAACAAGCAAAACCUUGAGUAAUGUGUUGUGUGUUCCCUCUAUUCACUUCAAUCUUGUGUCUGUCUCCAAACUCACUUCUUGCCAGAAGACUGUAGUCUUGUUCAAUGAUGCACUUUGUGUUAUUCAGGAUAUCCUCUCAUGGAAGGUGAUUGGGAUUGCUAAAGUGACAUCAGGCCUAUACUUCUUACAAGACUAUCAAGAUGAGCAUUACCUUUCAAAAUUUAAUUUUGAUAAGCUUGUACAUUUUUCAUUGCAAUCUUCUAUUAAUGUUUGUAACACAGCACAUGCAAAGUUUGAUUUGUGGCAUUUUAGGUUAGGCCACAUACCUUUGAAUAAAAUAAAUGUCAUUAUGAACAAUGUUCAAAUGUUACAUGUUCAAAAAUUUUGAUUUGUGAUGUAUGUCUUGUUGCAAAAAUGAAAAAGUUGCCUUUUCCUGUUCACAUUAAAAAUACAAGUUAUCCUUUUGAAAUUGUGCAUGCUGAUGUAUGGGAGCCCUAUGCUAUUCCUAACAUCAAGGGUGAACGGUAUUGUGACAUCCUGAACAUUUUUCAACAGAUUCUAUUUCAGCACCAAGUAGUCCUACUAUUGAUGUUGUUCCAUUAACUAGGAAAAGUAAUAGACUUAGACAUACUCCAAAGUAUCUUGAAGCAUAUCACAUGAUUUACCUUCCACCUUUCUUGUCACCAAUUAUCAUCUGCAUAUAAGAUCGUUACUACUAGCCUGUCUUAAAUAUAUGAGCCAAGUACGUAUGAUCAAGCUGUUCACUAUUCUCACUGGAAAGAAACUAUGCAAUGUGAGCAAAAAGCUUUGGAAGAUAAUGCUACAUGGAGUAUUGUGGCUCUACCUUUUGACUCUCAUUCUAUAGGUUGUAAUGAAACAAAUGAUCCUUCACCCUUCAGUCUUUACUAAUUAAUGGUAUUUAACCUUUAUCCGGGGAUAUUAUAAAUGUCCUGGUGCAUGCCUUUACUAAAUUGAAGAAAUCUAGCGGAAGAAUUUUGCCUUUUGUCACAUACUCACAUUUGCUUACAAGAAUCUCGAAAUAAAUAAUCUCUUUUCCUUCUUUUUAAAGGGAGAAGAAACAGGGAGGCUGACCCUCUGUUUUGCUAGCAUUUGGUCUAUUUUUGUUCUAUUUCUUUUUGUAUUUUUUAAGUUUUAUUUUGUUGAGUUCUUCUCUAGCUAGGAUGUUUAUCAGCAAGCCCUCGAGGUCCAAUAUAUAGAAAGUUUAAAUUAAAAUAAAGUGUCAAAUCAUCAGAAAAAGGAUGUACUUUCAUUAAAUGAUUGAAAUGUAAGAAGGGCGAGAGAUUUAAUGAUGUCAAUCCUUCUGAGGUUAUUGAAACAGGGGAGUCUUAGCUGAUGGACCUUACAAACAAAAGAACACAUAUUUGCAUUUUACAAUGCCAUGCGCCUGAAUAUGCAACACCGACAAUUUAAGCUACAUAUGGAAAUUUAUAGCAAAUUUAUAGAAACAACAAAGUGAGAUAACCAUUUGGAUUCGAAGGAAUGUGACUGCCAACUGAGCAGAAUCAUCAUACUUAAGCAAUUCAACUUACAAUGGAAAAGGGCAUCUCCAUUAUAGCUCUACAAAGCAAUUGCACCAUGGUGAAGGAAAUCAAGUAGAGUAAUGAAGAUUAUAUUGAAGUCGAAGAUCUACUUACCCUCUGAAAGUAGUGUCUCACAAGUACAACAAUAUCUUGCCUUAUUCCAACUUGGGCGACUAAAAGGAAACCUUAGUAUCUUCUUCAGAAGUUUGGACACUCUGUAAUCAUAAGGAUUGAAAGGUGGAAGCAAGAAUUGUUGAAUUAGCUAUACAUUCAAAGUCACCAAAACCUAUACUGUACAACCAUUUUCAGUGAACUCGUAACUCGUAACUACGUACUUCUUCCGUGGAUAGGAAGUUAAAAGGCUUUGUUUUCUAUUUCCAGCAAGAUGCUUGCUAUCAUAAUUCAUACAUUUUCAGUGAACUUCUUUCAAGCAGAGAGCCAAAAGCAGAAAAUCUAUUGUUACAAGCAAUGUAACAAUGGCAUGUUUUAAGCACACAACGGAAGCUACACACUCAAGCAAUGUUGAAAUUUAAGUGGAACAUACAUGGCUCUAAAAUGAUGGUGAUAUACAAAGAAGGUUAUGAAAAAGUAACAAGGAAAUUUUUUUGAAUUGAUGCAUACCUUUUCUAUAAACAAAUGCUGAAUAGUGGCAUUAAGGUUUCCUUCCCAACGUCCUACACAUUCACCUUCAGUUGAUUGUAUUCCUUGCAGCUUUGGUGCGCUUAACUCUCCCUUAGAGAAUAUUUCCAUCUUUGGACAUUGUCUCAUGAUUACCUUUUCCAAGGAAGGGAAUCCAAGCAUAUAAUUCCCUGAGCAGAACCUUGAUAGACUAGGAAGACCACCAAAUUCUAAAGACCAUAGUUCGGAGAAAAUAAUGCCAUCCAUCACUUCAUCACUUGAAGAAGCUAUAAUUUCUUCUAACAUUUGGUUAAGAAAUACUCAUUUGGCAAUCUGUAAUACUCAUUUGGUUAAGAAAUACCAUGCUCUUAGCCGUUGGGAGUGUUACUAAAUUCAUAAAUCCAUGACAUCUUGAUACUUUCAGAAUUCUCAAAUUUUUGAAAGACACCGAAAAUGACACUAAAUUCUUUAGUUUGCCACAUCCCAACACUUUCAAAUAUCUCAAGUUGUUGAAAACCACUUCUCCAAGUGGAAUUUCUUCUUUCGAGAGAUGUGUAAGCUCAGGAAGUUCUGAUAGCCUUAAUUCAGUGGCUGUUACUUCAUGUGAUUCAUUGGAAUUGGGUCCAUGAGGUCCAAUUAUUUCUUCUAAUGAAUCACAGUUCACUAUCUCCAGUGUUUCUAGCUUCUCAAGUCUUUCCACCAUGUUAAAUGGAAAAAUAUUUGGAAGUCUUUCACAGUCUUUCACCAUAAGAUAUUGCAGAUUACAAAAUGAAUUCAUAGUGAUGUUAUCAUCCCAUAUUUUCCUCCAUUCCCCCAUGCCUUCCAUAUACAAAUAAUAUAAAUAGGGGAAUGCCACCUGCAGAAUUUAUUUUCUUUGUUAAUGAGGGAAAAUAAACUAUAGUCCGACUAGAUAAGAUACAAGAAAGGGUUGGGAAAGUAACAAUUUCACUAGUAGAACAAACAUAUACAAUUAAUAGAGGAAAGAGAAGUGACCAAAAUAUACAUACAAACAUAAUGGAAGAAAAUAAACACUAUAUUUCAUAAGAAGGAAGUAGUAAGUAAAAAUAUUUUAUUUAUAAUUUUAUCUUAACCUUUUUUUUCUCUAGUUUUCAUCCUUCAUACCAAAUACAAGGAAAACUAAUUAUUUUUUUUUCUUUCCUCAAUUUUUCCCCUUCCCUCCAUUUUGAUUAGGAAGCAAAAUAAGGCAUUUAUGUGCGCAGAGACUAUAAUUAAGUUUUUCAAAUCUUUUUUGCAUCAUUAAGUUUGCUUUUUGUUUUUUUUGGGUUUGGAGCAUAUAAAUUUCCAAUUUAUCCAUUUUUUAAUUAUUUUAUUUUGCAAAUCCUCAUUUUUCUUUUCUGCAAAAGAAGACAUUUUCUUUUCCUAUGUUACAAAGAUAUUUACAUUUACUACACUUUUAUAAUUUGAGCUUUUAAAUUAUUAGUUCUCAACACGUGUCACAUGCGUAAGUACAUAUAUUUAAAACAACUGACUGUAAGAAUAAUCUUAAUGAUGAUAAAGAUAAAUAGAUAAAUUUAUUUUAUAAUGUAAAUUUGCUUAAAUGACAAUGUAAUUUGCCCUUUAUAUUGGAAACAGUAUAUUAUAAAUUUUCCUUUGGAUAUUCAUUAUUUUCAUAUAUAAAUAUGUUUAAAUUCUAAUAUUAUAAACAUAUUUUGACCAAUUUGUUAAGUUAAUUAUUCAUAACCAUAACUUUUAUGUAGCUAUUUGUACAUUAUCAAGUAUAUUUAAGUGGACUAACAGGCUAAGACCAUUAAGAUUAAACAAAAGAGAUCUCCAGAGAAGAAAAAACCAUAUUUGAGUGGUCUUAAAAAAAAAACCACAAUAAAUAUUAAUUUUUCAAAAUAAAUUCUUUUAAAAUUUAUUAAAACGAAAACAAAAUAUACUAACCGUGUUAUCGAAAAAGACAGUAUCAACAAUUCUGUUAGAAAGUCUUGUCGUAUUUCCUCCAUCAAUCAUUUCUAUUCUUUGCUCUCUUGAAAAUGCAGAUGCAAAUGCAAACAUCUGGGGACAACCAACCACCUUAACUACUCCCAAGGAUGGAAAUUCCAGUAUCUUACUUCCUUGAUAGAAACUUGCCAAGUCCGCACAAGAUUCAAGACUUAGAAACCGUAAUAGCGGGAGCACAUUCUUAUUUGCCACUUGUUCAUCUGGUCCUUCAUCUGUGAUGAUAUGUUCCAUCACAAUGCAAUUUUUUACUAUCAGCGUAUGAAGUUGUGGUAGGCCCAAAGCCAUGGAAAGUGUAAAAAGGCACCUCAGGGUGCUACAAUCAUCGACUUCUAAAACUUCAAGACGUUUGAAGGGUAAAAUUCUUUGAGGAUUUUGUAUCUUCGUGAACUCAGAAGUAUCAGAGAGUCUCAAAUGGUGAUAUUCAACCUAUGGAAUCCAAUGAAUUGGACUAGUUAGUACAAUAAUAAUUAAAAUUGUUAAAACCUAAAACAAUACUCUUUAUUUAAAAAAAGAAAACUGAUAUAAUUAAUAGGUUCAAACUAAAUUAGAACCAAUUUUAGUUCUUUAUAGAUAUGUAAUUAAUUUGCAUUUAAAAUAGUACAAAAAAAAAAGACAACAGAGGAAAGACUAGAUGCUUUACUAUUUUAAAUAGUAUAAUUACAUAACAUUCUUCAAACAGCCGUUUGAAGAAAAAAUUUUAAAUUGAUGCUUUACUAUUUUAUACAUUUUGUAAUCAUAAGGAAUAUCGUAUUGAAAGAGAAAAACAAGAAUUUUUGAAUUAGCUACGCAUUGAAGCCCCAAAACUACACUUUUAUAGUAAAUUUCUUUAUUAAUAGCUAGAAGCUCUAUGCUAAAUUAAUAAACUAAUUCUGCAACAAUUCUACAUUAAAUAUUAGUAAAUUUCACAGUCUUUUACCGUAAGGUAUCGCAGAUUACAAAAUGAAUUCAUAGUGACCUUAUCAUCCCAUAUUUUCCUCAAUUCCCUCGUGCCUUCAAUAUGCAAAUAAUAUAAACGAGGGAAUGCCACCUGUAGAAUUUAUUUUCUUUGUUAAUGAGGGAAAAUAAAUUGUAGUCCUACAAGAUAAGAUACAAGAAAGGGUUGGGAAAGUAACAAUUUCAAUAUUAGAAUAAAUGUAUACAACUAAUAGAGGGAAAAAAAAGCAAAAAAAUAUUAAUACAAACAUAAUGAAAAAUGUUACCUUCUAUUCAUUUUAUUUUUCUUUCCUCGCUUUUUCCCCUUCCCCCUUUUUGAUUAGGAAGCAAAAUAAGUCUCUGCGCAGAGACUACAAUCAAGUUUUUCAAAUCUUUUUUGUAUUAUUAAGUUUGCUUUUUUGUUUUUUUUGAAUUGGGAGCAUAUGAAUAUCGAAUGUAUCCAUUUUUUAAUUAUUUUAUUUUACAAAUCCUCAUUUUUCUUUUCUACAAAAGAAGACAUUUUCUUUUCUUAUGUUACAAAGACAUUUACAUUUUCUACACUUUUUGCUUUUCUUAUGAUUUGAACUUUUGAAUUAUUAGUUCUCAACACGUGUCGCAUGUAUAAGUACAUAUAUUUAAAAAAAAUUGACUUUAAGAAUAAUCUUAAUAAUGAUGAUAAAUAGAGGAAUUUACUUUAAUUAUAAUGUAAAUUUGCUUAAAUGACAAUGCAAUUUGUCCUUUAAAUUUGGAAACAGUUUAUUUUGAAUUUUCCUAUAGAUAUUAAAUAUUUGCAUAUAUAAAUAUGUCUAAGUUUUCAUAUUAAACAAAAAUAUUUUGACCAAUUUGUUAAUUUACAUGUUCAUAACCAUAGAUUUUAUGUAGCUAUUUUGCACAUUAUCAAGUAUAUUUGAGUGGACUAAAAGCCUAGGACCAUUAAGAUUAAACAAAAGAGAACUCUAGAAAAGGAAAAACCAUAUAUUUGAGUGGCCUUAACAAAAUAAUUUUUAAAAAAUAACCACCAUAAAAAUUAAUUUCUCAAAAUAAAAUCCUUUUAAAAUUUAUUAAAAUAAAAUAGAAACAAAAUAUACUAACUGUGUUAUCGAAAAAGGCAAUAUCAACAAUUCCCUUGGAAAGCUUUUUCAAGGAGAAUUCAUAGUUGCUUCUAUGACAGAAUCUCGUGAGAUUGGGAAGGUCUCGGAGCUCCAAAAGUUCUAGUUUAGGAAAAACUUGGCCCAUCAUAUCUUCUUCUAUAUCCUCUGUGACUAUUAUCUCUUUUAAGCACUUGCAUCCAUUUAUUUCAAAGCUUUUGAGAUGUGUUAGACUUCUACACAUAGAAAAUGAUAGUAUGUGUUUUAAAUUGUGACAAUCCUCAAUGGCCAAACUUGUCAAAUUCUGAAGGUAGUUACAAAAGAUUGAAGAUUGGUUGGGCCAUAUCCUUUCAACAUUGAGUGAGUCCAAUCGUAGCUUCUCCAAGCAAGGGAACUUUAUCUACACAAAUGUAAUUCUUAUACAUUAAAAAUUAUUAAAAAACAUAAAAAAUUCAAAUUUCAAUAUAAUAAUUACAUAACAUUCAUGCUAUAUAUAAAAAAGAGUGAUGUUUUUUUUAUAGCAUAAAUGCAAUAAGAAAAGGAGAGUAUAGUCACCUUUUCAUUGAAGAGAUGAAGGAAAUUGAUCUCUGAGUUCUUUUCUUCUGCUUUUUGGAUAAUAUGAAUUUCAUUUGCCAUGGUAGAUUUGGAGAUAAAUGUCUUGAAUGCAGGACAAUCCCCUAUAAUAAGCUCUUUCAACAAGGGGAGUUCAAAGUUACUUCCAUGGCACAAUCUUGUGAGAUUGGGAAGGUCUCGGAGCUUCAAAAGUUCUAGUUUAGGGAAAACCCGGCCCAUCAUAUCUUCUUCUAUAUCUUCUGUGACUAUUAUCUCCUUUAAACAAUUGCAUCCAUUUAUUUCAAAACUUUUGAGAUGUACUAGACUUCGGCACACAGAAAAUGAUAGUAUGUGUUUUAAAUUGUGACAACCCCCAAUGGUCAAACUUGUCAAAUUUUGGAGGUAGUUAGAAAUGAUUGAAGAUUGGUUGGGCCAUAUCCUUUCAACAUUGAGUAAUUCCAAUUCCAACUUCUCCAAGCAAGGGAACUUCAUCUACACAAAUGUAAUUUUCAUACAUUAAAAAUUAUUACAAAACACAAAAAAAUUCAAGUUUCGAUAUAACAAUUACAUAAUAUUUAUGCUUUAUAUAAAAAAAAUGAAUGAUGUUUGUGAAUGCAGUGAUAGUGCAGUUAAGGAGAAAUUACUUCCCAUUCUAAUGACGAAAUGAUUUGGAAUAAAUUUUAAAAAAGACAGUUGAAAAAAAAUAUCAAUUUUUAAGUCAUAAUCUUAAAAAAAAAUAAAACACUACCAAAGGGUGAAAAACCAAUGACAUAAUCAUUAAUGAGUCAAGGAACCUAAGAGGAAUGACAGGAAUUUAUCUUAUACGUGUUCUAACAUUUGAAUGAACAAAAGAUAAAGAAAUACCUCUUCACCGAAAAGUGCCAAGUCAUGUUGAGGUGUGGAAGUAGAGCCCCCUGGACUGUUUUUAGAGCAGAAGCUAAUGAGCUGUGGUAAAUCUGCAAGGAUCAACUGUUGUAAUUGCUGAAAUUCAAUUUUAUCAAUUGCAUCGUCAUCUUUCAUGAUAUAUUGUAUCUCCGAACAAAGUCGGAUGUGAAUGUGCUUUAAAUGCAAAAGACCUUCCCUAUUGCCCACCUCGCUGAAAACAAUCUUGGCACCUUUUAGACCUUCCAGAUAAAAAGCUGUUGAUUUCAUCAAUAAACAUUGCACCCUAUCAUCCAGUUGAUUGAUGUUUGUAUUUAGCUUGAGUUUUAGCGCUCUCGAGAAUUCAAUCUCGCCAUGCCAGUAAGAAAGACUUCCAAUGAAAAUCCUUUAUCUUUUCAAUUUUUCAGCGAACAGGCUGAAAAGGUCAUAUGGCACAAUCUUGACAUCAGGAAUACCAGCAUUUAAAGUGGUCAAACAAGGCAAAUCCCUCAAUUCAUCAAGACGAGCAUUGCUUCCUUCGUUCCAACCAUCAAAACUCCUACCCAUAUAUAAUUCUUCUAAUUUGGACAAAUUUGAUAAAACACCUGCUGGAAUUUUAAGAUCGUAACAAUCGCUCAGAUCUAAUAAUCUUAGCUCAGUCAAUUGUCCUGUUUCCUCAGGUAGCAUUUCAAUAUCAGAACCGAAAAGGUUAAGAAUUUCUAGAUUCUUGAGUUUUUCAAGAUUGACCAUGUCUCCCAGCACACAUUGAUUUAGGCACAAUGUUCGAAGACUCGUCGGGAGACUAAUUGGGGAAAAUUUGAUUUAAUAAAAUCUAAGACUUUGAGAUUUUUCAUUUUCUCAAAAAAGUAAGCUGGCAUUUCCACAUCAGAAUCCUUGCUACCCAUACAGAAAAAAUCAAGUUGUGGACAUUCCAACUCAUGAGGAAGCUUCUCAACACUAUCAAAACUCAAACUAAUCAUUUUGAACUUUGUCAUCCUCUCUUCAUCAGGCCAUUCGUCAAAAACACCCUUACGUUUCAAUGCAAAUGCAUGGUUGUCCCUAGAGGCAAUUGCUAAGGCCACAUCACAAUCGAAGUCAUGCAUAUCGAAGCGCUCAUCGCUGUAACUAUCGCGCAACAAACAAAAGGCUUUGAGGUCACUUACCAGAGUCAACACUCUGUUUCGCGUGUCUUCUACUGUGUUGGCAGUAUCAAAUAAACGUAAACCCAUGCCAUAUCUCACCAAGUCUUCAACGCGAGCAUUAUGGCCUAGAAGACCGCAAGACAAGAAAGUCCUUUUGUGUUCCUCGCUGACUAAAGAAUUGUAACUCAGCUCUAUGGCUGAGUAUACAGCUGCUGGUAUCCUUGUGAAGUUGCUUGGAGAAGGCCUCUGAAGUUGCGCGAGAGCAUCCUUCCAUGCAUAUAACUCUUUGCUUCUCAAAGCUCUUGCGACUGUCACAAUGGCGACGGGUAAUCCUUCACACUUUUUGGCUACCUCUGUUGCUACAGGUUGUAACUCAAGAUCUUCAAAAUUGUUCUCAGCCAUCUCCUUAAACAGGUUCCAAGCUUCUGUUUCAUUCAAAACAUCGAUUGCAAAAGGAUUCUUAACAGCCAUCUCAUUGGUUAGAACAUAUCGAUUUCUUGACGUCAACAGUAUCUUGCAUUCCUCGAGUUGAUCUCCAAAAGGAAUUCCGACUUGCUCUAGAUCUAGUCUCGCCCAAACAUCAUCUAAAACAACUAGAAUCUUCUUCUCCUUCUUCAACCUAUCCGACAACGAACGUGCUCUAGCCGGUAUAGUUUUUUCUUCUAAUUUUAAUCGCAAUGAUUCUGCAAUUGCAUUGACAUUUUUCUCAAUGUCAAAAAUCUCGUUUCUUGAAUCAAAAUCCCUAAAAUUUUUAGAUGGUGCACCCCCCGGGGCUGGUGGAACACGACAGUAUCCCACUUUGUUAAAUUGACUAUGUUUGAGAAGGUCGUCAACAGUCGUGCCAGCUUGUUCUGCUUUCUUGCUAAGCUGGUACCGAGACUUGAUAUUGGGACACCAAGUCAAAGAAGCACUUGUUCUUUGCUUUGUCUUCAAGAUCCUUCACUUUCUUCUUCUCUUCAUUGAUUGCCUCGUCCACUUUAUCGCACCAUUGCUGGACGUCCGGUUUUAUCUCCUUCACGUUCCUUUUUGCAGCAUCAACCUCUAGAUGCACACUUUCUCUUUUUGUUAUCAAUGACUUCAUUUUCUCCUCGAACUUAUCAACAUUUUUCUUGUAGACGAAUACAUAUCUCAUAUGACGUUUAAUUUCUUGAAAGAUGCCUCUCGCAGCCUCCGAACAAACAUUGGCAAUGGCGCCAAUAGCACAACCUUCCAUGCUUUUUAUUCAACAGACAAGUAAAGCAAAUCACAGAAGAACAGAGACAAAAGGUAGCAGACCAAAAAUAAAAACAGCGAGAAGAAUAUAUCAGAAAACGAUGUGAGCAAGGAAAAUAAUCAGAAUGGUGAGAAAUUGGAAAUGGCGGCUUUCUCCAUUAGUUAUAGCUAUGAACAAAGAGGCAACUAAGAAUCAAAGUGAAAGGUUCUGGUUUUUUGGGUGGAAAGUAGAGGGAUGUGAGAAGCCGACGCUUUGAGGUGGAGAACAAGAGAAGAGAAGGAAACAACAGAGCAAGCGAAAAACAAAGAAAGGAAGAAAGAUAACAGUCAUGAGUUGAGCAGAAAAGUUGUAUUAAACAACAGAGGAAGCGAAAAAACAGGAAAGGAAGAACGAUAAUAGUGAUGAGUUGGGCAGAAACGUUUUAAACAACAGAGCAAGCUUAAUAGAUAUGUAAUUAAUUUGCAUUUAAAAUAGUACAAAAAAAAAGACAACAGAGGAAAGACUAGAUGCUUUACUAUUUUAAAUAGUAUAAUUACAUAACAUUCUUCAAACAGCCGUUUGAAGAAAAAAUUUUAAAUUGAUGCUUUACUAUUGUAUACAUUUUGUAAUCAUAAGGAAUAUCGUAUUGAAAGAGAAAAACAAGAAUUUUUGAAUUAGCUAUGCAUUGAAGCCCCAAAACUACACUUUUAUAGUAAAUUUCUUUAUUAAUAGCUAGAAGCUCUAUGCUAAAUUAAUAAACUAAUUCUGUAACAAUUCUACAUUAAAUAUUAGUAAAUUUCAUAAGGAACAACAUAUUGAAAGGUGAAAGCAUGAAUUGUUAAAUUAGCUAUACAUUCAAAGUCACCAAAAACUAUACCGUACAACCAUUUUCAGUGAACUCAUAACUCAUAACUACAUACUUCUUCCAUGGAUAGGAAGCUAAAGGCUUAGUUUUAUAUUUCCAGCAAGAUGCUUGCUGUCAUAAUUCAUACAUUUUCAGCGAAAUUCUUUCAAGCAAAGAGCAAAAUGCAGAAAAAAUCUGUUGUUACAAGCAAUGUAACAAUGGCAUGUUUUAAGCAUACUACGGAAGCCACACACUCAAGCAAUGUUGAAAUUCAGUUGGAACACACAAGGCUCUAAACUAAUGAUGCUAUACAAAGAAGAUUAUGAAAAAGUAGUAAGGAAAUUUUAUUGAAUUGAUGCAUACCUUUUUUUUAAACAAUUGCUGAAUAGUGGCAUUAAGGUUUCCUUCCCAAAGUCCUACAUAUUCACCUUCAGUCAAUCGUAUUCCGUGCAGCUUUGGUGUGCUUAUCUCUCCCUUUGAGAAUAUUUCCAUCUUUGGACAUUGUCUCAUGAUUACCUUUUUCAAGGAAGGGAAUCCAAGCGUAUAAUUCCCUGAGCAGAACCUUGAUACGCUCGGAAGACCACCAAGUUCUAAAGACCUCAGUUUAGAAAAUAUAAUGCCAUCCAUCACUUCAUCACUUGUAGAAGCUAUGAUUUCUUCUAACGUUUGGCAAUCUGUAACACUCAUUUGGUUAAGCAAUACCAUACUUUUAGCCACUGGGAAUGUUAAUAAAUUCAUUAAUCCAUGACAUUUUGAUACUUUCAGGGACAUCAAAUUUUUGAAAGAUGUCGAAGGUGGCACUAAAUUCUUUAGUUUACCACAUCCCGACACUUCUAAAUGUCUUAAGUUGUUGAAAACUACUCCAAGUGGAAUUUCUUCUUUGGAGAGAUGUGUGAGCUCAGGAAGUUCUGACAGCCUUAAUUCAGUGGCUGUUACUGCAUGUGAUUCAUUGGAAUUGAGUCAUUGAGGUCCAAUUAUUUCUUCUAAUGAAUCACAGUUCACUAUCUCCAAUUCAUAUAGUUCCUGAAGUCUUUCCAUCAUGUUAAAUGGAAAAAUAUUUGAAAGUCUUUCACAGUCUUUCACCGUAAGGUAUCGCAGCUUACAAAAUGAAUUCAUAGCGACCUUAUCAUCCCAUAUUUUCCUCAAUUGCCCCAGGCCUUCGAUACGCAAAAAAUCUAAACGAGGGAAUGCCACCUGUAGAAUUUAUUUUCUUUGUUAAUGAGGGAAAAUAAAUUGCAGUCCUACAAGAUAAGAUACAAGAAAGGGUUGGGAAAGUAACAAUUUUAAUAUUAGAAUAAAUAUAAACAACUAAUAGAGGGAAAAAAUGCAAAAAAAAUAAUAAUAAUAAAAGCGUAAUGGAAAAUUUUACCUUGUAUUUAUUUUAUUUUUCUUUCCUCACUUUUUCCCCUUUCCCCCAUUUUGAUUAGGAAGCAAAAUACGGCAUUUAUAUACGCGGAGACUACAAUUAAGUUUUUCAAAUCUUUUUUGUAUUAUUAAGUUUGCCUUUUUUUUUUGGACUGGGAGCAUAUGAAUAUCUAAUUUAUCUAUUUUUUUAAUUAUUUUAUUUUGCAAAUCCUCAUUUUUCUUUUCUACAAAAGAAGACAUUUUCUUUUCUUAUGUCACAAAGAUAUUUACAUAUACUAAACUUUUUGCUUUUCUUAUGAUUUGAACUUUUGAAUUAUUAGUUCUCAACACAUGUGUCGCAUGCAUAAAUACAUAUAUUUAAAACAAUUGACUUUAAAAAUAAUCUUAAUGAUAAUGAUAAAUAGAGAAAUUUACUUUAAUUAUAAUGUAAAUUUGCUUAAAUGACAAUGUAAUUUGUCCUUUAUAUUGGAAACAGUUUAUUUUGAAUUUUCUUUUGGAUAUUAAAUAUUUUCAUAUAUAAAUAUGUCUAAGUUUUAAUAUUAGACAAAAAAUAUUUUGACCAAUUUGUUAAUUUAAAUGUUCAUAACCAUAAUUUCAUAUAGCUAUUUUGUACAUUGUCAAGUAUAUUUGAGUGGGCUAAAAGCCUAAGAUCAUUAGGAUUAAACAAAAGAGAACACUAGAAAAGGAAAAACCAUUUAUUUGAGUGGUCUUAAAAAAUAAUUUUAAAAAAAUAACCACCAUGAAAAUUAAUUUCUUAAAAUAAAAUUCUUUUCAAAUUUAAAAAAAAAACCAAAAAUAAAAUAUACUAACCGUGUUAUCGAAAAAGGCAGUAUCAACAAUUCCCUUGGAAACCCAUGUUGUAUUUCCUCCAUCAAUAUCAUCAAUCGUUUCUAUUCUUUGCUCUCUUGAAAAUGCAGAUGCAAAUGCAAACAUUUGGGGACAACCAACCACUUCAAGUUCUUCCAAAGAUGGAAAUUCGAGUAUUUUGUUUCCUUGAUAGAAACUUGCCACUUGUUCAUCUGGUCCUUCCUCUUUGAUGAUAUGUUCCAUCACAAUGCAAUUUUUUACACUCAGCACACGGAGACGUGGUAGGCUCAAAGCCGUGGGAUGUGUAAAAACCCACCUCAAGCUGCUACAAUCAUGAACUUCUAAAAAUUCAAGAUAUUUGAAAGGUAAAAUUUCUUGAGGAUUUCCGCUCCAUAUUUUCAUCAACUCAGAAGUAUCAGAGAGUCUCAAAUUGCUGUAUCCAACCUAUGAAAUCCGAUGAAUUGCACUAGUUAGUACAAGAAUAAUUGAAAUAAUAAAAAUCUAAUUUUUUUUAUUUUAACAAAGAAAACUGAUAUAAUCAAAAAAUUCAAACUAAAUUAUAAACAAUUUCAAUUAUCCAUAAACAUGUAAUUAAUUUACAUUUAAAAUAGCACCAAAAAUGACAACAGAAGAUAGGCUAGUUGCUCGAGUAUAACAAGAAUUUGGCUCCGCUAUUAUGGGGUCAACUAUUCUCUUUUAAAUUUUUUUCUCUAAUUUUUCAUAAAUCUAAUGAUCAUUUAUAAUAUAAAAUAUUUUUUACCAGCACUCAAAAUAGGAUGACUAAAAAAGAAAUAUUUGAUAUUUUGCGAUAAAGUUUUUAUGGUUGAUUUUUUGUGUCAUGCAGUGAACAUUGUAAUUUUUUAUUUUUAAAGUAUAAAAAUCAGAUGACUUUAAUUUAUUGCAAAUUAUAAACCUUUUAUAACAUCAUUUGGAGCAAAAGAAAGAAAAAUAAUGGUAAUCUUUUUGUUCAAUAUAUAGAUUGAAUUUGGAUAUAAAUGUAAUAAAAUCUUAAUUUAUUUUUGAUCCUAUCCAUUAUAACAUUUUAACAUUGUAGUAUUUAUGAUGAAAAAAGCCUAAACAAAAACCCAUUUGUUCCUUUCUUUCUUCUCUCUAAAACAUCGACCGCCGCCAUUUUCUUCUUCUCUUUUUAAAACCAAACUCUUCCUUGUUUGUUUCCUACCAUUUGUUCUUGUUUUUUUUUUUCUUUUUUGAAAGUAUCAUUCCCUAUUUCUUGCUUCUUUUUUUUGUUCAAAUUACACUUUCGGUUUAUUUUCUAGUUUGUGUUUUUUCAUUUUCAACAUUUAGUAUUUUCAAAACACACUUUCCUUUCGUCUUCCAAAAAUAAAAUAUCAGUAAAACAUUCAAAAAAGUUUUAGAUUUGAUACUUUUAAUUUAGGUUUUGUUAGAGUUUUUUUUUUCCUUUUCUCCAGAACAAUUUUUCUUUACUUCUUUCUAGGAGUAGUUUUUUUUUUCCCUUAAACUACCAGUAAAGGAUUUGAAAACUCAAGAUGUGAUAUUUCAACUUAGUUCAUUGCCCUAAAUAGACAUUAAAUCUAGAUCUAAGAUUUUGGAUCUUGUUUUCCUUAUUUCUACAUGCAAUAUUAUUGUUUUUUGCUUUUCUAUGCUGUUGUGUUUAAGGUACUUGAGAUUGUUACUUUUCAAUUUUGAUUUUCUUUUUUUUUUAGUCAGUGGUUUCAACGUACUUCUACUUCUAUUCAUUUCUUACUGUUUGUUUCAAUAAUUUAUACCCUUUAUGCACACUAUAUUUGUGUUUGUAAAAUUCUUACAUUUAAAUUAUUUUAAUUGAUACUUUACUAUUUAGACAUUUUUUAAUCAUAAGGAACAUCAUAUUGAAAGAGGAAAGCAAGAAUUCUUGAAUUGGCUAUGCAUUGAGGCUCCAAAACUACAUUUUUAUAGUAAAUUUGUUUAUUAAUAUUUAGAAGCUCUAUGCAAAAUUAAUAAACUAAUUCUACAACAAUUCUACUUUAAAUAUUAGCAUGUUUUGGAAGCCGCCUCAUUCCCAACAACAUUUUACUAAGUACAGGGUGACGAGGAAAAGCAAAUGCAUGCAGUUGAAAAAUCAAAAUAAAAAACCAAAGCAACAUAAGAAAAUCUUUUAAAUUGAUACUUACCUUGUUUUCAAACAUCCAUUUUACAGUAGUUUUAAGGUCGCCUUCCCACCACCCUUCUUCUUUACUAUCAUCGCCUGUCACCCACCACCUGCUUUCUUUCGAUAUCACUGUUCGCAGUUGUGGUGUGCUUAAAUCUCCUUGGCAAAAAAUCUUCAUCUUUGGGCAUGCUGUCACAAUCAUAUUCUCUAGGGCAGGGAAUUCAAAGAUUUGAUCCCCUAAGCAGAAGCUAGCCAGAGUUGGUAGACAACUUAAUUUCAAAGACUUGAGUCGGGUAAAAACAAUGCAUCGUUUCCCUUCAUCACACUCUGCUCUAAGUUGUCCAUGCCAUAUCUCUUUCAUAAUGCCAUUUCCCUCCAAUGUUAAUUCUUCUAGAUUGGGGAAUGUAACCUGAAAAUUAACAAAUGUGUUAGACUAAAGUUAAAGAUUUUGAACUAAUCAAUGAUGUAAAUUCAUCCUCACCUCCCUCAUUAAAUUGGAAGUCAAAGUUAAAUAGAUGAACCAUCAACAAGAUCUCAAUGUUCCAUUUAUUGUACAAGCUAAGUAUUACAGCUGACUUUUCUUUUCUUACCAUUCUAAUUAAUUUCAAUGGUUAGCAAAAUAAGAAAAGUUUUACCUCUAUGACACUACUCCCAUAACAGUGUCAAAAUAGCAAAAGUAUUACAACUGCGGGAGGGGACCACAAGCGGAAGGAAGUCGCAUAGAGACCAAGCCAGUGCAGGAGAAAUGGCACCGCGACGGGGUUACGAGGUGACAAAGGGGAAAUGGAUGUGUAGGUGUAUGAGAAGUGAAAGGUGCCUGACUUGGUACAGGGGACGGAUUUAAGGUGAGCAGAGUGUCAUGUAUGGCUUAGCUCUGAGGGUGAUAUGAGCAGACACAUGUAAGUAAGGAGAGGCAGACUUCAGGUGAUUUUGCCGUACAUACCGCACCAAGUCUCCAACCAAUAAAUGAGAGUAAGUGAAUGCUUUUCUUUCUUUUUGAGAUAUUACAUAUGUGUUCCUAGAUUACUUUAAAAAAUAAAUUGCAAAAUAACAAGAAACACAAUUCAAAUACUAUAUUGCUUGACUUUUAUAUAGGAAAUUAAAUUUUUUUCUAGUUUACAAUAAAAUGCUUUAUUUUGUUGCUCCCUCGUAAUAUUUUUUGUUAUGUGAAAUGAAAUUUUUAAAAUAUUUAACUUUUUAAAUGAAAACAAAACAAAGAAAUCUUCUAAGAGUUAAUCUAAAAAUAUUAAAUGCAUUUAUCUCAGUUUAGUAAGGAUGAGAAUAUCAUAAGUGAGAAUAUUGUUAUUUUAACAAACACCGUAUGCAAAAGCUACAAUAUUUUUGUUGUAUGGUAACAUAAGAAAUGCUUGUGUAAAUGUUUUGAUUCAAUUAAUAUAUUUGGAUUUGAUUAAGUUCAUUGAAUAUAUAGUUUUGAUUCAAACUAAAUGUGUAAAUGUUUUACAUAGUUUUUUAUAUUCAUACCUCAUUGACCCAAAAUAAGGGUUGUUGAUUUGUUGAUUCUCUGAAGCUCAAAAGAUUUUCUGAAGCAAAUAUCUCCACCUUGUCACAUCCAUAUACCUUCAUUCUCUCUAAUGAUGGCCACUUCGAAGGGAUAAAAUGAAUUUCGUUUACCAAGGUAGACUUGGAGAUGAAAGUCUCAAAUGUAGGACAAUUCCCUAUAAUAAGCUCUUUCAACAAGGGGAAUUCACAGUGACUUCCAUGGCAAAAUCUUGUGAGUUCGGGAAGGCCUUCCAACUGCAAAUGUUCUAGUUUAGGGAAAAUCUGGUCCAUCAUAUUAUCUUUUAUAUCCUCCGUAAAUAUUAUCUCUCUUAAGCACUUGCAUCUCGAUACUAUAAAGCUUUUGAGAUGAGUCAGACUUUUAGCCAUAGAAAAUGAUAAUAGGUGUUUUAAGUUGUCACAAUGCAAAAUGUACAACCUUGUCAAAUUCUGAGUGUAGUCAGAUCUAAUUGAAAAUUGAUUGGACCAUAUCCUUUCAACAUUGAUUUAGUCCAAUCGUAGCUCCUCCAAGCAAGGGAACUUUAUCUACACAAAUGUUAUUCUUAUACAUUAAAAAUUAUUAAAAAACAUAAAAAGGAUUCAAGUGGUACAUGUGAAAAAUAGCACAGGCAGGCAAUGGAAAAAACAACAGGCAAUGCAUCCUUGUCAUAGCAACGAAGCAAACUGAGCGCAUUGAGGAGAAAGUGGACUUAAAGAUCAUGAACGGAAUUUGGAUGGGGGAUUCAAGAAAAGUUGGUAAUAAGGCGGUGGGUUGAGAUCAGAUGGAUGGAGGGAUCAGAGAGAAGAUACGGCGUAAACAUGAUUGUAUAGGGGAAAUGAGUAGGAGGUCUGUUCAGGGAUGUGGUUUUUUGACAAGAUAGAUGCUGUCAUGCUUUGGGAGGGUUACGUAAUUGACUAACUCUCUCUUUUAAUGAAAAUCAUUCCUGGCUUAUAUAAUAAAAAGAAUGAUGUUUGUCUAUGCAUCGACAGGUGCACUUGAGGAGAAAUUAAUUCUCAUUUUCUUAUAUAAAUAUGUCUAAAUUCUAAUAUUAGACAAAAAUAUUUUGACUAAUUUGUUAAGUUAAUUGUUCAUAACCAUAAUGUUUAUGUAGCUAUUUGUACAUCAUCAAGCAUAUUUGAGCACACUAAAAGCUUGAGACCAUUAAUAUUAAACAAAAGAGAACUCUGAAAAAGAAAAAACUAUAUUUGAGUGGUCUUAAAAAAAUAACUUUAAAAAAUAGUCACCAUUAAAUUUAAUUUCUCAAAAUAAAAUUCUUUUAAAAUGUAUUAAAAUAAAAAUAAAAACAAAAAUANNNNNNNNNNNNNNNNNNNNNNNNNNNNNNNNNNNNNNNNNNNNNNNNNNNNNNNNNNNNNNNNNNNNNNNNNNNNNNNNNNNNNNNNNNNNNNNNNNNNNNNNNNNNNNNNNNNNNNNNNNNNNNNNNNNNNNNNNNNNNNNNNNNNNNNNNNNNNNNNNNNNNNNNNNNNNNNNNNNNNNNNNNNNNNNNNNNNNNNNNNNNNNNNNNNNNNNNNNNNNNNNNNNNNNNNNNNNNNNNNNNNNNNNNNNNNNNNNNNNNNNNNNNNNNNNNNNNNNNNNNNNNNNNNNNNNNNNNNNNNNNNNNNNNNNNNNNNNNNNNNNNNNNNNNNNNNNNNNNNNNNNNNNNNNNNNNNNNNNNNNNNNNNNNNNNNNNNNNNNNNNNNNNNNNNNNNNNNNNNNNNNNNNNNNNNNNNNNNNNNNNNNNNNNNNNNNNNNNNNNNNNNNNNNNNNNNNNNNNNNNNNNNNNNNNNNNNNNNNNNNNNNNNNNNNNNNNNNNNNNNNNNNNNNNNNNNNNNNNNNNNNNNNNNNNNNNNNNNNNNNNNNNNNNNNNNNNNNNNNNNNNNNNNNNNNNNNNNNNNNNNNNNNNNNNNNNNNNNNNNNNNNNNNNNNNNNNNNNNNNNNNNNNNNNNNNNNNNNNNNNNNNNNNNNNNNNNNNNNNNNNNNNNNNNNNNNNNNNNNNNNNNNNNNNNNNNNNNNNNNNNNNNNNNNNNNNNNNNNNNNNNNNNNNNNNNNNNNNNNNNNNNNNNNNNNNNNNNNNNNNNNNNNNNNNNNNNNNNNNNNNNNNNNNNNNNNNNNNNNNNNNNNNNNNNNNNNNNNNNNNNNNNNNNNNNNNNNNNNNNNNNNNNNNNNNNNNNNNNNNNNNNNNNNNNNNNNNNNNNNNNNNNNNNNNNNNNNNNNNNNNNNNNNNNNNNNNNNNNNNNNNNNNNNNNNNNNNNNNNNNNNNNNNNNNNNNNNNNNNNNNNNNNNNNNNNNNNNNNNNNNNNNNNNNNNNNNNNNNNNNNNNNNNNNNNNNNNNNNNNNNNNNNNNNNNNNNNNNNNNNNNNNNNNNNNNNNNNNNNNNNNNNNNNNNNNNNNNNNNNNNNNNNNNNNNNNNNNNNNNNNNNNNNNNNNNNNNNNNNNNNNNNNNNNNNNNNNNNNNNNNNNNNNNNNNNNNNNNNNNNNNNNNNNNNNNNNNNNNNNNNNNNNNNNNNNNNNNNNNNNNNNNNNNNNNNNNNNNNNNNNNNNNNNNNNNNNNNNNNNNNNNNNNNNNNNNNNNNNNNNNNNNNNNNNNNNNNNNNNNNNNNNNNNNNNNNNNNNNNNNNNNNNNNNNNNNNNNNNNNNNNNNNNNNNNNNNNNNNNNNNNNNNNNNNNNNNNNNNNNNNNNNNNNNNNNNNNNNNNNNNNNNNNNNNNNNNNNNNNNNNNNNNNNNNNNNNNNNNNNNNNNNNNNNNNNNNNNNNNNNNNNNNNNNNNNNNNNNNNNNNNNNNNNNNNNNNNNNNNNNNNNNNNNNNNNNNNNNNNNNNNNNNNNNNNNNNNNNNNNNNNNNNNNNNNNNNNNNNNNNNNNNNNNNNNNNNNNNNNNNNNNNNNNNNNNNNNNNNNNNNNNNNNNNNNNNNNNNNNNNNNNNNNNNNNNNNNNNNNNNNNNNNNNNNNNNNNNNNNNNNNNNNNNNNNNNNNNNNNNNNNNNNNNNNNNNNNNNNNNNNNNNNNNNNNNNNNNNNNNNNNNNNNNNNNNNNNNNNNNNNNNNNNNNNNNNNNNNNNNNNNNNNNNNNNNNNNNNNNNNNNNNNNNNNNNNNNNNNNNNNNNNNNNNNNNNNNNNNNNNNNNNGCCAUAUCUCUUUCAUAAUGCCAUUUCCCUCCAAUGUUAAUUCUUCUAGAUUAGGGAAUGUAACCUGAAAAUUAACAAAUGUGUUAGACUAAAGUUAAAGAUUUUGAACUAAUCAAUGAUGUAAAUUCUUCCUCACCUCCCUCAUUAAAUUGGAAGUCAAAGUUAAAUAGAUGAACCAUCAACAAGAUCUCAAUGUUCCAUUUAUUGUACAAGCUAAGUAUUACAGCUGACUUUUCUUUUCUUACCAUUUUAAUUAAUUUCAAUGGUUAGCAAAAUAAGAAAAGUUUUACCUCUAUGACACUACUCCCAUAACCGUGUCAAAAUAGCAAAAGUAUUACGACUGGGGGAAGGGAACACAGGCGGAAGGAAGUCGCAUAGAGACCAAGCCAGUGCAGGGGAAAUGGCACUGCGACGGGGUUAGGAGGUGACAAAGGGGAAAUGGAUGUGUAGGUGUAUGAGAAGUAAAAAGUACCUGACUUGGUACAGGGGACGGAUUUAAAGUGAGCAGAGUGUCAUGUAUGGCUUAGCUGUGAGGGUGAUAGGAGAAGACAAAUAUAAGGAGAGGCAGCCUUCAGGUGAAUUUUUUCUAGUUUACAAUAAAUUGCUUUAUUUUGUUACUUCCUCGUAACAUUUUUUGUUAUGUGGAAUGAAUUUCUCUUAUCUAAAAUUUAACUUUUUAAAUGAAACGAAACUUCUAAAAGUUAAUUUAAAAAUGUUAAAUGUAUUUAUCUCAGUUUAGUAAAGAUGAAAACAUCAUAAUUAAGUGAAAAUAUUGUUUUUUUAACAAACAACAUAUGCAAAAACUAUAAUCUUUUUGUUGCAUGGUAACAUAAAAAAUGCUUGUGUAAAUGUUUUGAUUCAACGAAUAUAUUUAGAUUUGAUUAAGUUCAUUGAAUAUAUAGUUUUGAUUCAAACUAAAUGUGUAAAUGUUUUACAUAGGUUUUUAUAUUCAUACCUCAUUGACCCAAAAUAAGGGUUGCUGAUUUGUUGAUUCUCCGAAGCUCAAAAGAUUUUCUGAAGCAAAUAUCUCCACCUUAUCACAUCCAUGUACCUUCAUUCUCUUUAAUGAUGGCCACUUCGAAGGGAUAAUAUGAAUUUCGUUUACCACGGUAACUUUGGAGAUGAAUGUCUCAAAAUAAGGGAAUUCACAGUUACUUCCAUGGCAAAAUCUCGUGAGAUUGGGAAGUUCGUGAAGCUGCAAAACUUCUAGUUUAGGGAAAAUCUGACCUAUCAUAUCUUCUUCUAUAUCUUCCGUGAAUAUUAUCUCUCUUAAGCACUUGCAUCCUAUUACAUCAAAGCUUUUGAGAUGAGUCAGACUUUUAGCCAUAGAAAAUGAUAAUAGGUGUUUUAAGUUGUCACAAUCACUAAUGCUCAAAUUUGUCAAAGUCUGAGUGCAGCCAGAUCUAAUUGAGAAUUGAUUGUGCCAUAUCCUUUCAACUUUGAUUCCCCACAAAGACAGGUCCUCCAAGCAAGGGAAGUCCAUCUACACAAAUGUAAUUCUUAUACAUUAAAAAUUAUUAAAAAACAUAAAAAGGAUUCAAGUGGUACAGAUGGAAAAUAGCACAGGCAGGCAAUAGCAGAAACUACAGGCAAUGCAUCCUUGUCAUAGCGAGGAAGCGAACUGAACGCAUUGAGGAGACAGUGGACUUAGUGGUAAACAGGAAGCAGCAUGAAGUGUUGGGAACGACAUUUAAAAUUAAAAUUAGCAAAGGACAGAAAAAUGGGAAGGAGAGAAGGGUGCAGGUAAAAGAGAGAGUGAGUGGGAUGGCAGAGCAAAAAGAAGGAGAAGGGAUGAAGAAUAAAGCCCAAGUGAAGAAGGGGCUGGAAUACAAAGGGAUGAGGCGACUGAGCUCAAAGAGGCAAAUGGAGAGGGAAUGAGCAAUAAUAACCCAAGAAAAGAAAGGGUUGAAACAGGAUUUUUUGAUUUUUUGGAGCUGUUUAGGAUGUCCAUGUGUGGGCUCAGUAUAUAUAGGUUGAUUUCCUAGAGCUUUGAUUUUUGGAAAUCUCUGGAGCUUAAAGAUCAUCAAGGGAAUUUGGAUGGGGGAUUCAAGAUAGAUGUUGUCAUGCUUUGGGAAGGUUACAUAAUUGAGUAACUCUCUCUUUUAGUGAAAAUCAGUCCUGGCUUAUAAAACAAAUCUUUAUACUAUAUAAAAAGAAUGAUGUUUGUCAAUGCAUCGAUAGGUUUAAUUAUUAAAAUAUGUUUGUCAAUGAGGAGAAAUUAAUUCUCAUUUUAAUAGCAAGUUGAUGUACGGAUUGACUUGGAAUAAAUGUAAAAAACGACAGUGGAAAAAAAAUCAACUUUUUAAAGCUAUAACCUUAAAAAACUAAAAUAUUAUAAAAAUUAUAAACUAAUAAUAUAAUUAUUAUAAAAAUAUGUGAUUAAAAUGAGAAGCUACCUAUCUUACAGUAAAAAAAAAAAAAUGCGAAGCUACGCAUGUAUGAAAGAAUUAAUGAGUCAAGAGAUGUGGCAUAUGACUGAACAAAAGAUAAAUCAAUACCUCUUCACCAAAUAGUGCCGACUCAUGUUGAGGUGUGGAAGUAGAGCCCCCUGAUUUGUUUUUAGAGCAGAAGCCAAUGAGCUCCGGUAAAAAAUAAAGUUUCAACGAUCGUAAUUGCUGAAAUGCAAUUCUGUCAACUGCAUCAGUAUCAUUUAUGAUAUAUUGUAUUUCCCAAGCAUCUUCAAUGUGAAGGUGUUUUAAAUGCAGAAAACCUUCCCGAUUGUUCAAAGCAAUCUUGACACCUUCUGGACCCUUCAGAUGUAAAGCUUCUGUUUCCUUCAAUAAACGUAGAACCCCAUCACCCAAAUUAUCAAUGCUUGUACCCACCUUGAGUUUUAGGAUUCUCGAGUAUUCAAUUCUCUCAUACCAGUCAGUUUCAGAUCCAAUAACAAUGUUGUAUCUUCGCAAUUUCUCAGAGAACAAGUCUUUUAGCACAACAUCGGCAUCAGGAAUACAAACAUUUAAAGUGGUCAAACCAGACAAAUCCUUCAAUUCAGCUAGCCGAGCAUUACUUCCUAGGUCCCAUUCAACAAAACUUGUACCAAUGUAUAAUUCUUCUAAUUUGGACAAACUCGAUAAAACACCAGCUGGAAUUAUAAGUUUGCGACAAUUACUCAGAUCUAAUAAUCUUAGCUUAGUCAGUUGCCCUAUCUCUUGAGGUAGCAUUACUCCAGAACAGCCAAAAAGGCUAAAAAUUUCUAGAUUUUUGAGUUUUCCAAGAUUGAUCAUAUCUCCCAGCACACAU